rnacentral:lncRNA from 1 species
UCCCCAAACCUCCGGUCAAACUGAGCGUGUGAAUCAAAUUCUAGAGGAUAUGUUGAGGGCCUGUGUUAUAUCUGCCAAGGGUGCAUGGGAGAAAUGGCUACCCUUAGCCGAAUUCUCGUACAACAAUAGUUAUCAAGAGAGUAUCCAAAUGGCUCCUUUCGAAGCUUUGUAUGGCCGCAAAUGUAGAACUCCUUUAAACUGGGUCGAACCUGGUGAAAGGAGGUACUACGGAAUUGACUUUGUCAAGGAAGCUGAAAAGCAAGUUCUCCUGAUCCAACAACACAUGAGAGCCGCCCAAGCUAGGCAGAAAAGCUAUGCUGACCAAAGAAGAAAGCCAAUCGAGUUUGAAGUAGGUGACUUUGUGUACCUAAAGGUAUCGCCCAUGAAAGGAGUAAACCGCUUUGGCGUUAAAAGAAAGCUUGCCCCUAGGUAUGUGGGUCCCUACCAAAUCAUUGAGAAGAGUGGUAAGGUAGCUUACAAAGUGCAACUACCUCCCGAAAUGAGAGCUAUUUUCCCGAUAUUCCACGUAUCUCAACUUAAGAAGUGUCUUCGUGUGCCCGAAGAGAGAGUUGAAUCAAGAGAUAUCAAGUUGCAGUCAGACCUAUCCUAUGAAGAAAAGCCCGUACAAGUUCUUGAUGUCAAAGAACGAGUUACUCGUGGAUAAGUGAUCAAACUUUUUAGAAUUUUGUGGAACCGCCAAAAUGAGAGAGAUGCCACUUGGGAAAGGGAAGACUAUUUACAAGUAACUUAUCCCUCAUUCUACGAAAAGUGGUACGUCUUUCAAAUCUCGGGACGAGAUUUUUGUAAGGGGGGAGGGCUGUAACACUCCUAGUGUUAGCUUGCAUGUUAACCAUGAGCAUUGCAUUAACAUAAGCAUCAUCAUGCUCAUUCAUAAGCAUCUAUCAUGAUCACAUGUCAUCUUAUGCAUACCAUGUUUGAUUGAAUUGCUUGUGUGAAGUGAAAUGAGUGACUAUAAGGGGUAACCAAUACAAACAAGUGUACAUUGUCUUCCAAAAUACUUCAAUCAUGUUUAGAAUAUCAUUUGGAACAAAGUUCAUGUUGAAGGUUUUGGCCAAAAAUGCCCCUAGGUUAGGGUUAACCCUAGAAUGGCUUAAUUGACCCCCUAGACCCCAUUUCAAAGAUGUUUUAGGAAACUGGUGUUAGAGACCUUGCAUGUCUUGGACACCUGAAGCAAAGUUGUAGAGAAUUUCCUAAGCUACAAAAGUUAUGUUGAUGAAUUUUUAUGAAAAAGCUUAGAACAUAUCCAAAAAUUGCUCACAAGCCAAAAAUCAGGGCUGAUUUUAUACUUAGCCGAAUUUGGCUAAGUAUUGGAUCGUGCAGUUUCGACCAGGGGUGAUUGGGAGCUUUGUAGUUUGAAAUCCAGACCGAGUUAGACUUUGAUCUUGUAACCAAAGUUGUAGAACUCGUGUAGCUCUGUCCAAAGGAACAAGUUUGAGCCAAAACCAUCGAGUGAGCUGAGAGUAAAACGUCGGUGAACUUCCGGUUUCAGAUACGGUCGACGACGACUGAAUCGUGCGAUUCAGUUUCGUCAGUCGCCGGCCGGCCGACGCGUGGACGACCCGUGGCGGCCGUACGUCGACGGCGACCCCGCCUGUCAGCCCCAGCGCCUUCACUUGGACGCCACGACGCCACCCCGAGCCCCGCCGUCCUCAUUUCGCCUCUCCAGCGCUCUCUCCCUCCUCCAUUUCGUCUCGGCGAGCUCCGCCGUGGAACGGCCGCGUCGCCCGAGCUCUUCUCGCCGUCUUCGGCCAAGCCAGCCCGCCAAAAGCUUCGCCAGAGCCUCCUCUACCUCGGCGUCACCUCCUUGGCCACUGCCGAGCAUGGGUAAGGCGGCAUUGCCGAGCUCCGAGCAGUUCUUCCUCGCCGGAGUUCUGCCCGAGCUCACUGGCAACGUGGCCAGGCUUCUCUGCUCCACCAUUUUCCUCCAUUCUUGUUCCUAUCGCUUUCCCUUGGUUCACUGAUGCUCGGCGUUAAUCUCUACCGCGUCUCCAUUGCCUGGAUCCGCCGGCGUAUCGCCGCGCAGCGCCGCCGCUCCGCCAUUCCCAACGGCGAGCACCCUAGAGUCCAGUAGAGCGCGCGUAAUGUAGGUCAACAGAGUCGCCUUGAUGAGAGGAACACGUAGGUGCCCUUGGAUCCGGCCGAGACCUCGUCGUCGUCGAGCUUCGCCGGCGACGAGCAUCUCCCCUGUCCCCGUUUCGCUGACGCGUGGGUCUCGGAUGUCAGCCUCUCUGUGUCACCCCCUCUGGUUCACUGUUGUGCAGAGCCAAAGCUGUUUUUGUAAAAUUCAUAUCUGGAGUUUUAGAGAUCCAAAUGUGGUGAUUCCAAUUUUGCUAGGUUCCAGCAGAAUUCUAGUUUUUAAUAAAAAUAUGAAACAUGCCAUGUUUUUGCAGAAAUAAUUAGAUAUAAAAUAAUCUUAGUUUUUCAGUGGUUAAUUUUAUCUGGAGAUCUAUUGAUCUGCUGGCUAUGCAAAUUUGGGGAGUUGUUACUUAUGAUAUGAUUAGGCUCUGGUAAAUUUUUCAUGACUUUUGGAAGCCUGGUUGGGAAGUUAAAAUUUAUCCUUGCUUAAAUAGGAGAAUUUUGUGGUAUUUUUGAUAAUUAAAGUAUAACUCCUUUUAUGGUGAAACUUGCUGAGUGUUUUACUUAUGUGUGGAUAAAGCUAGGAAAAAUUUGAAAUCUGUUGUUUGACACUUUUUGAUAGGGUUUCACAUUUAUGCUUUGCAUGCCUUUACUAGCUUGUUAUUUUUAUACCUCACAAUGUGUACAUGCAAAUGUUCUGAAAAUUUUACAAUGACCUUAUGUUAGCAUAAGUAUCUUGCUGUAAUUUUCUUAGAAGUUUUGGAACACUUGGAGUAUAUGUUCAUUAAAUCACCUUAAUAAUUAAAUAAAUGGAAAAGGUGAUGAUAGAAAUAGUUUUAGACCUUGCCAUAAGGUUUUCUGGUGUUUCUUAGAUAUGUUCUACCUAUUGGUGCAAUUGAAUUGUUCCUUUGAUACAUUCUCAACAUGUGCAAAAUAUUAUUUUUGGCUAUUUAUGCCUUUCCUAGAACAUUUCUGUGUAGCUGAUAGCAAAUGCUUGAGAACUAAUUAAGGAUGUUAUUUUCUGGGAAACGUGUCUACAACAAACUUGUAGCUACCUUACUGAUCUACUUUGUGUCCAAAUUUCAUGGCAAUUGGUUGAGUAGUUUAAAAGUUAUGCAUAUUUCAAAUAGCUGCUACGAAGUGCUUGCUCUCUGGAAUUUCUAGAGCAGCCAGCCAACUUUGUAUGUUUUAGCAUAUUUCGGUUGGGAAUCAUGCUGGGAUGUCUAAAGGAAAAUUGUAGACAAUUUGUUAAGCUUUCCAGAAAGUGCUUACUUGCUUAAUUUGGUUAAGUGAUACUCGAGUUAUAGCUGAAACUUAUGACUGGUUGGUUGUCUACUAAACCAGUGACUGAGUCAGAGUAGCUAGGACUUGUUUAACUUGUCUAUUUAGUCUCUAUACCAGAAAAGAAGUAUGCAUUUACUUGUUAUUCCAUGACUCACUUAUUCUUAGAAGUUUAUGCUCAUGUUAUACCUUGUUUAUGUCCCCUUGGCUCUUCAUCAUGACAUCAUACAUCAUAUGUGCAUUCCCCAUAUUCAUCUCCUUGUCAUGCAUCCAAAGGUGUACCCAAAGGAGUGACGGUACUGGAGUUCGAGUUGCCGGGGCCGGAAGGACAGCAAGAGGAGCUACCUCAAGGAGCUGAGGAGGAGGACUUGCCAGAGUGCCCUGACCAUCAUCCCUCUACCUACGUUGAAGGCAAGCCCCGGAGCAUUAUAAGCCUCCUACUAUUUUAUUAUCAUGUUUAGCUAUCAAAUGACUAUGGUUAUAUAUUGUUGCAUUAAGUGGUAGGCGUUGAUAUGACACCCUUGCUGCAUAAUGACUACCUUGUCCACUUCAUACCUUACCAAAAGUAGGUCCAGGAUCGAAGGAAUGCUUAGCCAUGCUUAGCUCGGUAGAAGCCGGGUGAUUUCCUGUCACCUGCGAGAGUUAGGUGGAUGAUGAUCACGGUUGGCUAUAUUUGCUAUCGUGGAGAUAACCAUGUGCUAACAAUGAAUUUGAGACCGGGCGGGAUGACGAUAGUGCAGCAACAAGGCAUGGAGGUCUUGGGUGUGAAUCUAUCCCUGUCUGAGUCGUUUAAGGACCGAAUCGCUGUACGUCCCCGUGUCAUGUUGAACCCAUGCCUAUCACUUAGUUGGCCGGAUAAGUCGUUCCGACCGCGAAGCCUACGAGUGCAACUCCAGCCGGAUACCCCGUUCUGUAUGAGUGCGCACCCCGGUUGGUAGUAAGUAUGUGCGGGGAGUCAAUGGCGUAAGACCGAGGUGUCAGGUUAGAGUCCUGACCCUGGCAGAUUGGCGGUCCCUGGGGGUGCGGCGCUGGGCGGACCCGCGAAUUGGUCCGGAGUUGUGCUAAAGGUGAUCCGAGCUGCCGUCAUGAAGUAUGCUUGGGUGAGUGUUAGGAAUACCCCUCCAGCUGGAUAGGAAUCGAUUCGAAUCGCCGUCUCUCCCGAAUAGUGAGAACUUGACUUGGGCAGCGGCAACGUAGAAUUCACUAAAUAAACUUAAUGGUUAUAAUGAGAAUGAUGAUGGCUAUGUGAUAAUCCGGAUAUGGUUAUUAUUGUAAUGCUUAAAGACUCAAGUGUAUGCUUAGAGUAGGUGCUAAUCUAGUGGAUAGUUACUAAGUGAUGAACUUGCUGCUGAAUUAUAAUACAUGAUUUACUUACAACAAAGGCUUUUAUGCAAAAAGGUGAGUCAAACCAGCCCACAAAGAUUAGCCUUGCAUACUCCUUGAUGUCACUUUAUUUCUAGUUUAUGACGGGUAAGUCUAGCUGAGUACAUUCUCGUACUCAGGGUUUUAUCUACCCCUGUUGCAGAUGAUGUCGUCUACCACGGCUACUGCGCUAACUGUCAUCACCCAGCUGCGGAUGAUGAAUAGAUCAUGGGCGUGAUCACUCCUUUAUCUUCAGUUGUGCUUUUGUGGGGACUUGACCAUGGAACUGGCAUGUAUUAUAAACUGAGUUGGUGUUGCUUCAAAACUACUUUGUUUCCGCUACUGCUAUGGUUUGUAAUAACCUCUUUAAACUCUGAUGUGUUGUAAAACUAUGUUCUGUGUUGAAUGUUGUAAUCUGUGAUGGUGAUGCUUGAUCAUGUACGAUCUUGGUUGUAUGUUGGUUGAAUCGAGGUCUUUUGAGAUUUCGUCGGACUACCGGAUUUAUAUGGGUUCAAGUCCAUUGGCUUGACUACUCCCGUGGUCGCUAAUUCACUUGAAUUCUUAUAAAUUGGACGGUUCUGUUACACUAGCAAGGGGCAUAAGUUUAUUCUGGUUGCCACCGAUUAUUUCACUAAAUGGGUUGAAGCUAUUCCUUUGAAGAAGGUCACAUCGGCCAAUAUGAUUGAUUUUGUGAAGGAGCACAUUAUUUACCGAUUUGGGAUUCCUCAGACAAUUACUACCGAUCAAGGCACUAUGUUCACAUCGGGGGAGUUUGAUGAAUUCGCAAUCGGUAUGGGGAUUAAAGUGUUGAAUUCUUCUCCUUACUAUGCUCAGGCUAAUGGGCAGGCGGAGGCGUCUAACAAAGGAAUCAUUAAGCUUAUCAAACGGAAGAUUGAAGAAAAUCCUAGAAGGUGGCACACGAUGUUAAAUGAAGCUUUAUGGUCAUACCGGAUGGCUUGUCAUGGAUCGACCAAGGUCUCACCCUAUCAGUUGGUGUAUGGGCAUGAUGCAGUAUUACCUUGGGAAGUUAAGGCUGGAUCUAGCCGACUAUCUUUUCAAGAUCAAUUGACUGUCGAUGAUUAUGCUACUCUGAUGACCGAUGAGUUAGAUGAUCUAGCGGGCCAUCGGCUAAGGGCUUUGAUGAGUAUAGAAGAAAAUAAGAAGAGAGUUGCUAGAUGGUACGACAAAAGGGUAAAGGCUAAGGAAUUUGCCGAUGGAGACUUAGUUUGGAAAUUAAUUUUACCGAUCGGGACUAAAAGUUCAAAGUUUGGAAAAUUGUCUCCCAAUUGGGAGGGUCCGUAUCGGAUAAGUCGAUCGGCUCCUGGUAACGCCUACAUUCUAGAAACUCUCGAAGGAGUUGAGUUUCCCAGAGCAUUAAAUGGCAAAUAUUUAAAUAAAUACUACCCCAGCAUAUGGGUCGAUGCAUGAAAGUUUAAAUGCCGAUAACACUCCUAUCGGCUGGAUUAAAAUGUUUGGGGCCGAACUUAGUGUUUCAAAAGUUGCCGAUAACAAUCCUAUCGGCUAGAUUAAAACAAGCAAGAAAGCUGGAAGUGCAGAGAAGUAAGGACGUGUUGCCGAUGAGAGUUUCAUAUAUUCAGCAGCGCCUGGAUCGCCAAUAUAGCGCGUAGCCGGAUUUGGUUGGCUGUUUCUAUCUCCUUGAUAUCGUCAUCGGCAGAACCUUCUAUCGGCUUCAGCUUCUUCUUCAACUGUAAUGCCUUACGAUCGUGGAUGUUUCGUUCUUGCUCAAGGAGCCUGAUGGUCUCUGGCAGUUGGCUCUCUUCCUGUUGAGCUUGAGAUAAAGCGUCUUCCACUCGCUUGAGUUCUGCCAGCAGGGCUUCUCUUUUUGCCGAUAGGUCAGAAAUCUUCUGUUUCAGCGUGUUUCCUGAAGAUCUCAGGGUACCGAUGCUCUUGUGCUUCUCAUCGGUCAGGAGUUUCUCUUUCAUCAUUUCUUCAGAAAGCUGAGUCUGAGCAGCUCUGUCGGCAAGACGCCGGGAAGCCCUUUGGUACUACAGCUGACGACUCUCCAGAUGUGCAGCUUGGAAGAGGAUUUCUUCGACAUCGGCUGGAAUCUGGCCUCUGGGAGUCCUAAACAGAACCUUGGCUGGGUCAGAGUCAUCGACCAGUUGUGCCGUAUCCUGAUGAAGGAGAGCCGACAGUUCUUCCAGCUUGGCUCUGAUAUCUGCUGAUGCGAUUCCAACUGCCCGGGAGGAGCUCGCUUCCUCGCCUUCAUCAUCAGAGAUGUCAAUGGCAAAGGAGAAUAGGCUGUCAGGAGAGUCCUGCUCCUGAAAAGGAAAAUGAAGUGAGUCAUUCCAUGAUCAAAAUACCGGUAAAAAUAUUGAUGGGAGCUGGAUAACUUACCUGCUUCAAGGCGAUCUCUUGCCUUUGACUGGAAGAUGCCGAUGGAGCCGCAGGCCGAUCGGUCAGAGAUGCCGAUGGAGCUACAGAUUGAUCGGGUUGCCGAUGGAACGACGUCAGCUGAAAAUUAACAAAAGUCAUUAUGAAAUGAAAAGAUGGGUUCAUCGGUAUUAACUUUGUAAAUAUGUUACCUUGAGGAAGGACGGUACUUGUCUGAACGGAGGAAACCACCGAUGCUAUAAUGGAACAUGCUGGAUCGGUGGAUGGUUCAUGAACAUCAGCCGAUGUGUCUUCUGGCUGUGGUACUUCUUGUUGGGGUUCUUCCAGUUGAGUUUCUUCUGCCUGUGGUGCUUCUUGCGUUGGAGGGGGAGAUGGUGCUUGCUGAGUCUCUACGUCUGGAGGAGAAGGGGAAGAUUCCACCGGAAUGGGAGAUACCGGAGGAGGAGGAGGAGUUGCCACUUUCUGGCGCUUUGUUUCUGCCCUGGUACUCUUGGCACCCUUUCUCUUCUGUUGGCUGGACUGGGGGGCAUCGGCACCUUGGCUCUAGGUUUUUGCCGAUGCACUGGUUUGCUGUAACAACAAAGAGGAAUUUGUUAAUACAAGUGUAGCCGAUGUAAAGAUAAAAUUGGUAUAAACAGAGAGGUUUAACAGCUACCUUAAAGGCUUGUGCUAGAGUGGAAGCAGCUACCGAUGGUGGAGUCUGGGUCUUCCUGGUGGUGACUUUCCUCAGGCGUAUACCUCGAUGCACGAUGGCAGCCAGGGUAGGAGCGUUGUGGCCGAUUGAAGAAAUUGGGCCUGAUGCAAAUAGAUCAAUCGGCUUUCCACUUUUGCUGACCGAUGGAGGGGUAUCAUCAACCUGCAGAAAAGUUCAAAAGUAAAUCAUCGAUAGAAACAGAAUUGAAAGAAUUGAGACAUCGGUUUGAAAACACUUACAGUGUCAUUGGGAACUUCGUACUCAGGGUCAAUCAUGUCGCGGUACGUAAGGGCCGAUUUGCAGAACAGAUGCUCCUUCCAUUCUGCCCACCACUGCUUGUAUGCCUGAGUGAUGAAAGCGGCUGGAACCCACUCCGAUAAAUCCACGUCUGUAUCGGCACUCGAUGGCAGUUGGGCUACUCGGAUCCAUUCAAGCAGGCUGUUGAUGGUUUCCCUGGGCUUUAUCACAUCGGCGUAGCAGAGUGCAAUCGGCAGCUGGCCGAAAGCUAACUGACGGGCUAGUGCUGAUGGGUUGUAAAAUUCAUAAGUCUGAGGGGAGGUUUUCCCACUACCAAAGAAAUUCACUGGUAUGGCUCUGGGAGUCACCAUUGCCAUCAUCACUUCAUUGUCCCGGUCAAGAGCUUCAUCAAAUGGGUUGAAAACCAGGGAAAGCAUACUGUCUGGGUCAUCAUAGGCCAACCAUGCUCGCUCAUCUCUGGCCAAGCCCUCAUACAGAGUUUGGAAGAAUCAGCUGACCUGAUCUGGAUUACCCCCUGAACCAGGCAAAACUAUGACAGCUUCGCCGAAGUUUAAGGGAGCACGUGUUGCCGAUUCCUCUUCACCCAACACAUGAUUUUCAGCUAUGUCUCUUGGGAAACGCUGUGUAAACAGGUUAAAUUCAAGGCGCUUGUGCAAAUGCAGAUUGAGCCACAUAUUGAUAAACCAUCAGGGGCCUCCCAGGUUGCCGAUAGACUGGCCAAGCAAGAGCUUCUUAGUCACUUGGUGGAGGAGGUGAUAGGCCGCUCCAAGCAGGUAUCGGCCGAGGGGAAAUCGGCCACCAUUGGCCAGAUUUUCUGCUGCUGCUAGAUGAACAGAAGUUGGUCCUGCCGAUCGACCGCAAAACACGAAUUUAUCUAACCACAUGUUCAGAAAGCAGGUCUGCUCCUUCAUGUCAACAGGGCCUGUUUUGCGGUAUUUUUGGAUAUACCCUGACCAGCCACCGAUGGAGCGGGUUUCUACCGUAGCACUGGGUUUGGUAUCAAAAAAGUGGGUGCUAUCGGCAAAAGAAAUGUCUAACCCGGUGAGCAUUGCCACAUCGGCAAGAGUGGGGGAAACAGGGCCAUGGCCAAAGACAAAGGCGUUGAGCGUGUCUGACCAGAAGUAUGAUGCAGCUAUCAACAGUGACUCGUUCCUAUGCAUAUCGGCAAUGGACAACCUAAUGCAUUGGGCUAGAUUUCUUUCACCCCAUUGGACUUCGUUUGAGUUGCUGACCCUCAAAAACCAAUCUAUCCACCCCACGGUAGGGCUGGGCCAGGAACGAAAAGUAUCCUUCCACAGAUCCAAAGAAAAGUUCUCUGCUCUAAAAGGGAUCCUGUUGGUUUCUGCGUUUAUGAGGUUGAUUGGAUCUGGAUCCCCUAACGGGCCAAGGCAUUGGAGAUGUGGUCGAUCAGUGGGGAUGACAAUUUUGUUGGCCGAUUCCUAAUGGUUUUUGAGGUAUAUAUAAAAAAAACACAAGAAAAGAAGGGGGAAAAGUAUUCAGUACGGCGGAUUGCAGAUGAACAAGGAUGCGAGAAAAGUACAAGAGAUGGUGCGAAGGACUGACCUCAGGGAUGAUGAAGUUGACGGCCAUUUUUGCCACGGAGGAGAUACUUGAGAGUUUCGGAGUUGGUGAAGAAGGGACUUCGUCGAAGAUCUUGGAGCUUUUGGACAGCGCCGCCGCUGGAAAGGUGAAGUCGGAGUUGUGGAAUGAUGUGAUGGAGAAGGAGUACCCGAGAAGGAACUAUUUAUAGGACAAAACGGGCAAGGGCAAAUCUGAUUUAUCUCUUUGCCGCAUCCGAGAAACCCGAGGGUGCUCAGGAAGAUAUGGUAACUGUUCGCACGGUAAUCAAGGGAUUGUGCAGGUGAUUUGACAGGAAGCGGUCAUUAUCUAGAGAUAUUUUACUAUGCGGGAUCUCCUGGUCGGUCCAUCGGUAGCGUCUUGUAACGGUCAUAUUGCCGAUGGACAAAUAAAGUGGAGAUAGCCGUUUGUACGAAUAUCUUGAUCAGUCCAUCGGCAAAUCCUUGUAACGGUAAUAUUGCCGAUGUGCGACUAAAAGGGAAAUAUCUGUUUGGGAAAUUGAGGAUUUCGAAGGAUCUGCAAAAGAAUAGGAUCAGAGUUGUUCAGAUUGAGGUUGUCGGUUACCAGAUUAGGAGCAUUAAUUGCGGGGAAAGGCAUCAUUACUGCAGAGAAUUUUGGAGCAUUAAUGAUUUCAUACUCCAAAAUUGGGGGGCAUGUGUUGACACCAUUUUUGGGCACGUGUCCAUGUUUGGUAGAGUGCAGGCAGGUGGGACAAGACGGCGGUGUUUUGUCUACAGGAUGAGUUGCCGAUGAGGAUGGUUGCCGAUGAAGGAAGGUUUGAACGUGACUAAGUCUAUAGGUGGUGAUGUGUCUGUACCGAUGGCUACGACAAGGAAGUUUGCCGAUGGCUACGACAGGGGAGUCUGCCGAUGAUACGGAGGGAGAGUCCGGAAGCUGCCGAUCGGUUUGUGGAGGUAUUCCAGUUUGUCACGGGGGGAUAGCUUUAUGUUUUCCUUAGUUAUUUAAAUCGUUUUGUAUACAGAUUCUGUGUAAUUUGGAAUUCGAAUUCUAGUCGUGUCUGGUUGUAGCUCUUUGAGUAGGGUAUAAAUAUAGACCCUAGGGCCUUGUAAUGAGAUAUCUAUCAAUCAAUCAAACAAACGUUUUUACUCAUAUUCCAGCAUCUACUUUUCGACGACUUCGUCAUACUUUUUUCUUUUCAUUACGAGUUCUUAGGAAUUCGUCGACUUAAGCUCGGCGCGUUCUCAAGUUCCGCGUGAGUACCUCUUAGCCGUGACAUCCGGGCGCAUCGCUGUUGUCAGGACUAAAGUAUUCGAGUUACCACUCUUGCCGAUAGUAAGGUCAAAUCGGCUGGCACGCCUUAACGUUUGAAUCGGGUAUUAGCCCUUUGUGUUUGCAGACCAGCUUUUGCACCAACACCUAGCUUUGAUUCUAUAGAAGAGGUAUGCCUCCAGGGGCCAGGGGGCCUUGCUUAUAUAGUCUUUUCAGAUGAAUCUGGGCCGUCGGAUCAAACCGACAUUGAUUGAACGGUUAUCCUUGAUCCUUUAGGUCGGUGGAGCAUGAUCCGCGAAACGGAUCCGAAUUGCACACUAUAGGAGGGCGGGCGCCCUGGUCCUUAGGGCGGGCACCCUGGGCCAGGCCCCGUUCGGCCUCCGCUUCGUUCUCGUGGCUUCUAGAGUCUUCUAGAUGAUAGAAAAUUGCGCGGCACGUUAAUAUCUCUAUGUAAACCCAACGUGUGGGCCUUUCUUCCGUAUUUCCUGAUAACCCAAUGUAGAAAUAGAGAAACACCAAAACUUGUGGAAUUCUGUCAGAUAAAACCCUAAGUCUGGUUGUUGGUUGCAUAUAAGUCAAUUUCCAUGAUUAGUUGACGGUUAAAUGUGAGCAUUAAGGACCGUCAAUAGCUAUACGAUCCUAAACAUGUAUAUAGAUCCAAUCUAACUAAGCCAAGUAUAUAACUAUGAUAAACUAAGAACAAUAUAAUUGUGAAUAUAAACAAGUAGAGCAAAGUCAUAACCAAUAUAUUGAAGUAGAACAAAGUCAUAUACAUAAUAUCGAAGAACAAAGAGGAACAAUUGAAGAACAAUAGAGAAUUACCAAGAAUCCUCUUGACAGAUCCAGAAACCAAUCGAAGAUUGACUCCUUGUAGUUCUAAUCCUAUGUAGCUAUGCUAAUCUAGAUGUCUAAUUGAUGUGGUGGCUCUAGGCUUGAUCAGAGGCUUCUUCUCCCUUGAUGAAUAAUGAAUUAGGGUUGAAAGGUGCUCUCCUCCAGGGGCCAGGGGGUCUGGUUAUACAGUCCUUCCAAGUGAAUAUGGGCCGUCGGAUUAAACCGACAUUGAUUGAAUGGUUAUCCUUGAUCCUUUAGGUCGGUGGAGCGUAAUCCCGAAAGAGAGUCUUGAUUGGACUCCAGAGGGGGGCGGGCGCCCUGGUCCCUAGGGCAGGCGCCCUGGGCCAGGCUCCGUUCUGCCUCCGCUUCGUUCCCGUGGCUUCUGGAAUCUUCUAGAUGUAAGAUAAUUGCGCGGCACGUUAAUAUCUCUAUGUAAUUGUUGACACCGUUUUUGGACACGUACCCAGGAUCGGUAGAGUGUAGAUCAGCAAGAAAGGGCAAUAGUGGCUGGUCUGCAGAAGAGUUGCCGAUGAGGGUGGUUGCCGAUGAAGAGAUAGCUGAAUGUAGCUAAAUCCAUGGGUGGUGAUGUGUUUAUGCCGAUGACCUGCAUUAAUCGUUGCCGAUGGGGAGUCUGCCGAUGACGUGGAAGGAAGACUUGAAGGUUGCCAAUUGGUCCGUGGUGGUGUCCCAGCUUGUCACGGCGGGGUAGUUUUAUGUUUUCCUUAGUUAUUUAAAUCAUUUUGUACACGGAUUCUGUUUAAAUUUGGAAUUCAAAUUCUAGUCAUGUCUGGUUGUAGCUCUUUGAGUAGGGUAUAAAUGUGGACCCUAGGGCCUUGUAAUACAUCUAUCAAUCAAUCAAACACACGUUUUUACUCAUAUUCCAGCAUCUACUUUUCGAUGACUUUGUCAUAUUUUCCUUUUUACUACGAGUUCUUAGGAGUUCGUCGACUUAAGCUCGGCGUAUUCUCAAGUUCCGCGUGAAUACCUCUUGGCCGUGGCAUCCGAGCGCAUCGCUGUUGUCGGGACCAAAGUAUUCGAGUUAUCACCUUCGCCGAUAGUAAGGUCAAAUCGGCUGGCACGCCUUAACGUUUAAAUCGGGUAUUAGCCCUUUGUGUUUGCAGAUCUAGCUUUUGCAUCAACACAUCUUUUGGCACGCCCGGUGGGACUAGAUUCAAGAUGACGAUCGACAUGUCGACUACCGAAUUCGAUAAAGAGAACGUCAUCCCCUGUGACGGAAGCCAAUCUCAAGGAUGAGCAGAAGCAAGCUAUUGCAAAGGCUAAGGAGGAUUACAGGCAGCAAUGUUUGAAGUCCUUCAGCAUCAACAGGAGCGGCGAAGUAAUCCAGAAGGAAGCACUGCCAACGCCUCGGUAGGUCACUUUCGACGCUAAUCCUGGUAAACUUCAAGACAUGGUUGAUAAUGCUAUUAACCAUGCCUUGAUCAAUCAAGCUGGUGUGUUGUCCAAUACGGUUUUCAAUGCCGUGGCUAGAACUUUCAAAGAAGGACAAUUGCCACCAAAUUAUACAGGCCCUGCCUAUCAUCAGCCAGGAUCGCCAGUGGUUACAGCUCCAUCGGCUGCUACGGCUGCUGCAGGCACAGAAAUUCCUGUUCCUCCAAGCACGUUAGGAGUCACCAAUGCACAGUCUACGCCGAUGACAACUAAUCCACUGACUUCAGAUGGGUAGAUUAAGCUCGCUACAGAUCUAUUGGCAUCAGCGAUGUCGGGAUCGAUUCCUCCUCCUAACUGGUGGGGUUAUGGUAUGCCUCCAGAGUUGACGACACCUGGUACAUCUCAGAUGACUGAUGUGAGAGGCAAGGCUCCUAUGGCAUCGGCACCCCCAAAUAUGCCGAUGAAUCAGAGUCCCCAGUAUACUACAACCACUACUGCAAGGCCUUACACUAGAAAUUCUCAAGCUCCAAUGUUCCAGAUGCCUAACGCGUCGGUAGAUUCAAUGCUGACGCAACAGAGGUUUACGACUAAGCCAGGGUAUGUCAAUUCAAUGAUGAUACCCAAUUAUCAGUCAUCGGCAGGGCCUAUGCCGAUGAACGCUAAUAAUGGAUGGCUUGGGCAGCAAGUCUUUCCACAAACGCCCCAACAGAGUCAUCAGGUAUACCCUGGGUUCCAGAAUCAGGGAUUGCCCAGCCAGCCAAUGAAUCUUGGGCAGCAGAUCAGCGGAUAGCAGAUCGGCGGACAAUAGAUUGGUUGGCAACAGUUUGGCAGUCAGCAGAUCAGUGGUCAGCAAGUUGGCGGCCAAUUGACCAACCCGAUGUUCCAUGCAGAUCGUGCACCGCACAGACACGUGGAAGCUUACCAGCAGGUGCCGGAUCCGCAGCCACCUCAUCGGCAAGAUGCCGAUGCUUAUUGGGCUGAUAAGAUUGCUGAAGUAAUGAGAGACCAAUUUGGGAUAAAACCUAAAGUCAACACUUAUUCUUAUUGGACACCAUAUCCUCCUGCUUAUGAUUUAAUCCCACUUCCAAGUCGGUACAAAGUGCCAGAUUUUACUAAGUUUUCAGGGCAAGAUGAUACGUCGACCAUGGAACAUGUCAACAGGUUCAUCAUCCAAUGCGGAGAAGCUGCUAACAGGGAUGAGUUAAGGGUUCGCCUGUUCUCGUCAUCAUUAUCUGGAUCGGCUUUCACCUAGUUCAUAUCAUUACCUCCCAACUCAGUGAUCACUUGGGCCGAUCUAGAGAAACAAUUCCACAAGUACUUCUUUUCUGGGGUCCAUGAGAAGAAGAUCACCGAUUUGGUCAAAUUGAAGCAACGCAAUGAUGAAUCGGUUGAAAGUUUUGUGCAGAGGAUACGGGAGGUCAAGAACAAAUGCUAUAGCCUGGUUCUGGAUGAUCGGCAGCUAGCCGAUUUGGCUUUCCAGGGUUUGUUGCCACACAUCAGGGACAAAUAUGCAUCUCAGGAGUUCGAAAAUUUAAGUCAUUUGGUGCAGAAAAUUUUUGAUCAAGAUAUCAAACCUUUUGAGCCCAAGAGAGCAUGGAAUAAAAAGGUAUCGUUUGUGGAUGAAGCGACAAGCUCAGACUCUGAUGAAGAACCAGUCAUCGGCUUAGCAGAAUGGGUGAAGAAUAAGAAGCUGAUGUCUUGCCCUUUUGGGCAUAGAGAGCCUGAGAAGUUCGCAUUCGACAUCACCAAAGCCGAUAGGAUAUUUGAGUUUCUACUUCAAGAAGGUCAGAUCAAGUUGUCACCCAAUCAUGUGAUCCCAUCGGCUGAAGAAUUGAAGAAGAUGAAGUACUGUAAAUGGCACAAUGCAACUUCUCACAGCACCAAUGAGUGCAAAGUUUUCAAACAACAGUUGCAAUCGGUUAUAGAAUCUGGGAGGAUUAAAUUCGACAGCUCUAAAGCUCAGAAGCCGAUGAAGAUUGAUCAACAUCCUUUUCCAACAAACAUGCUGGAUGCCAAGGGAAAGGAAAAGGUCUUGACAUCAGAGACAGCUGAAAGGAGUGCAUCGGUGGAUCCUCAGCAUCAGAUCACCACUGCCGAUGCCAAGGGAAAAGGCUUGAUAUAGGAGGAAACUAACUCAGGAAGGCCUCCCCGAUCUGGUAUUGUGAUAACUCACAGAAGGAUCGGUAUCGGCGCCAGCAAGAGGACUAUCGUCGGGAAGAAGAAAGACGCCGACAGGAGUGAAAUCGGCAUAGGGAUCACUGGAAUUGCCCGUUCUUCAUCCAUUGUCAGGAGGAGAAUAUCAAGCUUCCCACUGUCAGAGAUUUUCCUGAGUGCAACGGUUAUGAUCGGUAUGACAGAUCCAAUCGGCGCUAUCAUAAUGAAGAUCGGCGAUUCAAUGGACCGAUUAGGGGGAGAGCAUCCGUUCAUGAUCGGCUGGGGGGCAGGCUCGGUGUGCAUGAUAGGCUCGGCGAUCGUGUUGAAUAUUUUCCCAGAAACCAGGAAGAACUUGAAGAGAUGGCUAAUGCACGGGUUCCCGAUGAGUUCAUCUUCUGCAGGGACGCCAAUACUUAUCGGAUAGAGUCAAGGGAAAAUCAUCACCCAUCGGUAAGGCAGCAGCAACUUCCUACAUGGUGUCCAGAGGGGUUGACUAGGACACAGAAAAGAAGACUGCAGCGCGAAAGGCGAGAAGAGCUAAGCAAGGGCGAGAACUCUGGCCAGUCUGGAGAUCCGCAACAAUCAGAUCCUAAGGGGAAGGUCCAUCGGCAGAUGUCAACAUAGUAUUUAUGUUGCCGAUGGAGUUCCUUGCACCAUCCAGUGAUGAUGAGUUGGGGUUUUCUGACUAGAUAGCUCAGUUGGCUCUAGAUCCGAUGAUAGCCAUCUUCGAAAAGCCUGCCGAUGAUGAAAGGCAACAUCUUAAGGCUCUGUUUGUCAAAGGAAGAGUUGAUGGUCAGCCGAUGACCAAGAUUUUAAUUGAUGGUGGGGCUGCCAUCAACAUCAUGCCGUAUGCAGUAUAUCGGAAGCUUGGAAAAGGAGAUCAAGACGUAACCAAGACCGAUAUGAUGCUCAAAGACUUUGAGGGGAAUGUGUCUCCGGUCAAGGGGCCUAUCUGUGUUGAGUUGACCAUCGGCAGCAAGACCUUGCCGACAACCUUCUUUGUGAUCAGUGGAAAAGGUGCUUAUAAUCUGUUGUUAGGGAGAGAUUGGAUUCAUGCCAAUUGCUGCAUACCAUCAACUAUGCACCAAUGCUUGGUCCAGUGGGUAGGUGACAAAAUUGAAAUUGUCCCGGGAGAUUCUUCCUAUGUUAUUGCAUUGGCAGAGGCAGACACCUAUGAAAGAACUAGGUGUAUUUCAGGAGAAGUUUGGGAAAAGGAUUUUCUCAAGGUUGUCGAUUAUGAGAUUCCACCGAUCCAAGCAGUCGGUUCUGAUGAAGGUUUUUCAUGGAUAGGUUCGCCGAUGAUGGAAAAUUAGGCUAGGGAUUCACAUCGGCCGAUGAUCUAGUAGAAGUAGAUAUAGGUAGUGGUGAUAAGCCUAGGCCUACUUUUAUUAGUGCUAAGUUAAAUUCCGAGUGUAAGCAGCAGUUAACCAAUUUGUUGAAAGAAUAUAAGGAUUGCUUUGCUUGGGAUUAUACUGAGAUGCCUGGUCUGGACCGAUCAAUUGUUGAACACCGGUUGCCUAUCAAGUCUGGAUUUCGGCCACAUCAGCAGCCAGCUCGCCGAUGUAAUCCUAAUAUUCUUCCUGAUAUUAAGGCCGAAAUAACCAAGCUUAUUGAAGCUAAGUUUAUUCGGCAGUGUCGGUAUGCUGAGUGGAUUUCCAAUGUUGUUCCGGUCUAUAAGAAAAAUGGGAAGCUUCGGGUCUGCAUUGAUUUCAGGAAUCUUGACAGGGCUACGCCGAUGGAUGGCUACCCAAUGCCAGUUGCCGAUCUGCUAGUUGAUGCUGCGGCUGGGCAUCGGAUUAUCAGCUUUAUGGAUGGCAAUGCAAGAUACAAUCAAAUAUUCAUGGCUGAAGAAGAUAUUUCGAAGACCGCAUUUAGAUGUCCCGGUCAUGUUGGGUUGUUUGAGUGGAUAGUCAUGACUUUUGGCUUGAAGAAUGCAGGUGCUACCUAUCAGAGGGCUAUGAAUUUUAUAUUUCAUGAGUUCAUCGACAAGCUGGUGGAAAUCUAUAUUGAUGAUGUAGUGGUUAAAUCUGGAGAUUUCACAAAGCAUCUUGCCGAUUUGCGAAAGGUGUUAGAAUGCACAAGGAAACAUGGUUUUAAAAUAAAUCCCAAUAAGUGUGCAUUUGGUGUAUCGGCGGGACAAUUUCUUGGUUUCAUGGUGCAUCAAAGGGGGAUUGAAAUUAGUCAAAGAUCCAUUGAUGCUAUCAACAAAAUAGUUGCCCCUACCAACAAUACUGAGCUCCAAUCUUUGAUCGGCAAGGUAAAUUUUAUCAGAAGGUUUAUAUCUAAUUUGUCUGGUAAAAUUCGUGCUUUCAGUCCUUUGCUUAAGUUGAAAGCUGAUCAAGAGUUUGUUUGGGGGAAAGAGCAACAGUUGGCCCUAGAUGAAAUCAAGAAUUAUUUGGUAAAUCCUCCAGUUCUGAUUCCACCUCAGCCAGGGAAACCCUUCAGAUUGUAUUUAUCUACCGAUGGGAUGGUCAUCGGUUCGGCUUUAAUUCAAGAAUUUGAAGGGAAGGAACGUGUGAUUUACUAUUUAAGCAGGAGGUUGAUUGAUGCUGAGACCAGGUAUUCGGCUAUUGAGAAACUGUGCUUAUGCUUGUACUUCUCCUGUAUUAAGCUAAGGCAUUAUUUGCUAUCGGCCGAAUGUACUGUUAUUUGCAAAGAUGAUGUGGUCCGAUACUUGCUGUCUAUGCCGAUCAUGAGUGGCAGAAUCAGUAAGUGGAUUUUGGCACUGUCAGAAUUUGAUUUGCGUUACGAAUCGGUUAAAGCGGUUAAAGGACAGAUUAUGGCCGAUUUUGUAACUCAGCAUUGUGGUACAGUGGAGACUUUGGAAAUUGUACCUUGGACGCUCUUCUUUGACGGAUCCACGUGUGACCGGGGGGCAGGAAUCAGCAUAGUGCUAAUUUCCCCUCAGGGAAGGAAGUACGAGUUCUCCUUGCCGAUUGUUCCCACGUCAACAAAUAAUAAAGCUGAGUACCAAGCUUUGAUAAAGGGUUUGGAAUUGCUGAGGGAAGUUCAUGCCGAUGCUAUUGAGGUCUUCGGGGAUUCUAUGGUAGUUAUAAACCAGUUGGCUGGAAGCUAUGAAUGCCGAAGUGAAGUCCUGAUAACUUAUCAUGAAAGGAGUAUGCAACUGUUAAAGGAAUUCAAGGAUUUCCGGUUAGGGCAUGUUCCUCAAUUGCAUAAUGAAGAGGCCAAUCGGUUGGCUCAGCAUGCCUCAGGAUAUCAGCCCGUGAUUAAUGCAAUAUCGGCAAGCGGUGCCGAUGAUUGGAGGAAAGAAAUCAUUGAUUAUUUGAAGGCUCCAUCUAAGAAAGUUGAGAGGCGUGUUCGGUUUCAAGCUACCAAGUAUGUGCUCCUUGAAGGUGAAUUAUAUUACCGAACUAUCGAUGGGAUUCUUCUCAAAUGCUUAGGUGAUGAUGAGGCUAAGGGUUUGAUGGGAGAAAUCCACGAGGGAGUAUGUGGAGCACAUCAGUCGACUUUUAAGAUGAAGUGGAUGAUUAGAAGAAAUGGGUAUUAUUGGCCGACUAUACUCGAGGAUUGCUUUAAGUAUUUCAAAUGGUGUCAAGGCUGUCAGAAAUUUGGUAAUAUUCAAAGAGCACCCGCAUCGGCCAUGAAUCCUAUCAUCAAGCCUUGGUCGUUCUGGGGAUGGGCUAUUGAUUUGAUCGGCCAGAUUUAUCCGCCAUCCAGCAAAGGACAUAAGUUCAUUCUAGUUGCCACCGAUUAUUUCACCAAAUGGGUUGAAGCUAUUCUUUUAAAGAAAGUUACAUCGGCCAAUAUGAUUGAUUUUGUGAAAGAGCAUAUUAUCUACCGAUUUGAAAUUCCUCAAACAGUUACUACCGAUCAGGGUACUAUGUUCACAUCAGGGGAGUUUGAUGAAUUUGUAAUCGGUAUGGGAAUUAAAGUGUUAAAUUCUUCUCCUUACUAUGCUCAAGCUAAUGGGCAGGCCGAGGCAUCUAACAAGGGAAUUAUCAAGCUUAUUAAACGGAAGAUUGAAGAAAAUCCUAGGAGGUGGCACACAUUGUUAAACGAAGCCUUAUGGUCAUACCGAAUGGCUUGUCAUGGAUCGACCAAGGUUUCACCUUAUCAGUUGGUAUAUGGGCAUGAUGCGGUGUUACCUUGGGAAAUUAAGACUGGGUCUAGGCGACUAUCUUUUCAAGGUCAGCUGACUGCCGAUGACUAUGCUACUUUGAUGACAGACGAGUUGGAUGAUCUAGCAGGGCAUCGGCUAAGGGCUUUGAUGAGUAUAGAAGAAAAUAAGAAGAGAGUUGCUAGAUGGUAUGAUAAGAAGGUAAAGGCUAAAGGAUUUGCCGAUGGAGACUUAGUAUGGAAAUUAAUCUUACCGAUCGGGACUAAGAUUUCAAAAUUUGGGAAGUGGUCUCCCAAUUGGGAGAGUCCCUAUCGGAUAAGUCGAUCGGCUCCUGGUAAUGCCUAUAUUCUAGAAACUCUCAAAGGAGUUGAAUUUCCCAGAGCAUUAAAUGGCAAAUAUCUAAAGAAGUAAUACCCUAGCAUAUGGGUCGAUGCAUGAAGGUUUAAGUGCCGAUAACAUUCCUAUCGGCUGGAUCAAAAUAUAUCUGGAACUGAACUUAGUGUUUUGAAAGGCGCCGAUAACAGUCCUAUCGGCUAGACUAAGCUAUUAGGAGUGCUCAAAAGGGGAGAGGAGGAUGUAUCGCCAAUGAAGAGGCCAUGUGUUCAGCAGCGCCUGGAUUGCCGAUAUGGCACGCAGGCGGAUCUGGUUGGCCUCCUCUAUCUCCUUCACGUCGUCAUCAGCAGAGCCCUCCACUGGCUUCAGCUUUUUCUUCAUCUGCAAAGCCGUGCGGGCUUGGAUGUUACGCUCUUGCUCAAGAAGUUUGAUUGUUUCCGGCAGUUGGCUUUCUUCUUGUCGGGCUUGGGACAAGGCGUCUUCCACUUGCUUGAGUUCUGCUAAUAGGGCUUCUCCCGAAGACUUUAAAAUGCCGAUGUUCUUGUGCUUCUCAUCGGCAAGGAGCUUCACUUUCAUCAUCUCUUCAGACAGCUGGGCAUGAGCAGCUCUGUCGGCAAGACAUUGGGUAGCCCUCUGAUACUGCAGCUGACGACUCUCUAGGUGUGCAGCUUGGAAGAGGAUUUCUUCGGCAUCGAUAGGAAUUUGGCCUCUGAGGGUUUUGAACAAAACUUUGGCUGGGUCGGAGUCAUCAACCAGCUGGGCCAUGUCUUGGUGAAGGAGGGCUGAUAACUCUUCUAGCUUUGCCCUGACUUCUGCCGAUGUAAUUCCGAUUGCCCGGGAAGAACUUGCCUCCUCACCUUCGUCUUUAGAGAUGUCAAUGGUGAAGGAGAACAGACUGUCGGGAGAAUCCUGUUCCUGAGAAGGGGAUAAAGUGAGCUAUUUCAUGGCCAAGUAUUGAUAAAAACCAAUGGGGGUUGGAUGGCUUACUUGUUUCAAGGCAAUCUCUCGCCUUUGACUAGAAGAUGCUGGUGGAAUUAUAGGCUGAUCGGCCAGAGUUGCCGAUGGAACUAUGUCAGCUGAAAAUUAGCAGAGGUAAUUAUAAAAUCAGGAAAAUGGGUUCACCGGCAAUGAUUUCAUAAAAUAUAUUACCUUGGGGUGGUGCAGUGCUGGUUUGGACCGAGGAAACUACCGAUGCUAUGAUUGAGCCUGCUGGAUCGGUAGUCUGCUCGCCCACAUCAGCCGAUCUGUCUUCAGGCUGAGGUAUUUCUGACUGAGGUCCUGCUGGCUGGAUUUCUUCCACUUGGGGUACUUCUUGCAGCUGAGGGGGAGAUGGAGCUUGUUGCGUCUGGGCUUCUGGAGAGGAAGGAGAAGAUUCUACUGGGAUUGGUGAUAUUGGGGGAGGAGAAGGCGUUGCUGUCUUUUGGCGCUUUGCUUGUGCUCUGAUAUUCUUGGCACCUUUUCUCUUCGGCUGACUAGACUGGGGGACAUCGGCACUUUUGCUUCCGAUCCUUGCCGACGUGCCGGUAUGCUGAAGCAAAAAAGGAAAUUUGUGAGUACAAGUGUAACAGACGUAAGAGAGAGAUUAGUAUGAAAGAGUUUGAAAAUGCACCUUGAACGCCUGUGCCAAAGUAGAGACUGCUACCGAUGGAGAUAUCUGAGUUCUCUUGGUAGUGACUUUCUUGAGGCGUACGCCUCGAUGCAUGAUGGCAGCCAAAGUGGGAGGGUUGUUGCCGAUUGAAGAGAUCAGACCUGAUGGAGUAAGGUCAAUCGGCUUGCCACUCCUGCUGACCGAUGGAGGAGUAUCAUCAACCUGCAACAUAACACAGAAAGUGAGUUACCAAUGAAAAUGAGAAUAAAAGGAUUAGAACAUCGGUUUGGAGGUACUUACAGUAUCAUCGGAGACCUUGUAUUGGGGAUCAAUCAUGCCACGAUAUGUAAGGGCCGAUCUGCAGAACAAGUGCUACUUCCAUUCUUCCCACAACUGCUUGUACGCCUGAGUAAUGAAGAGGGCUGGAACCCACUCUGAAAGGUCUGCAUCUGUAUCGGCAUUCGGUGACAGCUAGGCUACUCGGAUCCACUCGAGAAGGUUAGUGAUAGCUUCCCGGGGUUUUAUCACAUCGGCAUAACAGAGUGCAAUCGGUAGCUGGCCGAAAGCUAGUUGACGGGCUAGUGCCGAUGGGUUCUAAAACUCAUAGGUUUGGUUGGAGGUUUUCCCACUGCCAAAGAAGUUCACUGGUAUAGCUCUGGGAGUAAUCAGUGCCAUCAUUACAUCGUGGUCCUUGUUGAGAGCAUCAUUGAAGGGAUGAAAGACCAAGGGAAACAUGGUGUCUGGAUCUUCAUAGGGCAUCCAUGCUCGCUGUUCUCUUGUCAGACCUUCAUACAGGGUUUGGAAGAAUCGGCUGACCUGGUCUGCAUUGCCUCCUGUACCAGGCAGUACUAUGGCAGCCUCGCCAAAGUUCAGAGGAGGACGAGUUGCCGAUUCUUCUUCAUCCAGUUCAUAGUCCUCGGCUAUAUCCCUGGGGAAGCGUUGUGCGAAGAGGUCAAACUCAAGACGCUUGUGCAUGUGGAGGUUGAGCCACAUGUUGAUAAACCACCAAGGACCCCCCAAGUUGCCGAUGGACUGGCCGAGCAGGAGUUUCUUGGCUACCUGGUGAAGGAGGUGGUAAGCCACGCCAAGCAGGUAUCGGCGGAGGGGAAAUCGGCUACCCUUGGCUAGUCUUUCUGCUGCUGCUAGGUAGACUGAAGUUGGUCCUGCCGAUUGACCACAAAAUACGAAUUUGUCCAGCCACAUGUUCAGGAAGCUGGUCUGCUCCUUUAUGUUGACAGGGCCUGCUCGUUUGUAUUUUUGGAUGUAUCCUGACCAGCCACCGAUAGAGCGGAUUUCUACCUUAGCACUGGGUUUGGUAUCAAAGAAGUGGGUGCUAUCGGCAGAAGAUACAUCUAGGCCGGUGAGCAUGACUACAUCGGCAAGUGUAGGGGAAGCAGGACCAUGGCCAAAGACAAAAGCAUUAAGUGUGUCUGACCAGAAAUAUGAUGCAGCUAUCAGCAGUGACUCAUUCCUAUACAUAUCGGCAAUGGACAGCCUGAUGCAUUGGUCUAGUUUUCUCUCGCCCCACUGGACUUCGUUUGAGUGACUGACUCUCAAGAACCAAUCCUUCCAUCCCACGGUAGGACUGGGCCAGGAACGGAAGGUGUCCUUCCAUAGGUCCAAAGAAAAGUUCUCUCCUCUAAAGGGGAUUCUGUUUGUUUCUGCGUUAAUGAGGUCGGUGGGAUCUGGGUUUCCUAAAGGGCCAAGACAUUGGAGGUGUGGCUGAUCGGUAGGAAUGACGAUUUUAUUGGACAAAUCCUAAUGGUUUUGAAGAAGAACAAAGAAAGAAAAAAAAAAUGUUCAGUAAAGUAAAUUGCAGAUGAACAUGGAUAUGGUAAAAGCACAAGAGGUGGAAUGAUGAACUAACCUCAGGAACGGUGAAGUUGAUGGCCAUCUCCUCACGAAAAGGAUGGUCGAAGGCUUCGAGGUUGGUGAAGAAAGGGCUUUGUUGGAGUUCUUGGAGAUCUCAAACAGCGUCGCCGCCAGGAAGGUGGAGUUGAAACUGUGAAAUGAUACGAUGGAGAAGGAGUACCCGAGAAGGAACUAUUUAUAGGACAAAAUGGGCGAGGGUAAAUCUGACUUAUCACUCUGCCGUAUCCGUGAAAUCCGAGGAUACUCAGGGAGAUAUGGUAACUGUUCGCACGGUAAUCAAGGGAUUGUGCAGGUGAUUUGACAGGAAGCGGUCGUGAUCUGAAAGAUAUUUUACUGUGCAAGAUUUCCUAGUCGGUCCAUCUGCAGCGCCUUGUAACGGUAAUAUUGCCAAUGGGCAGAUAAAGUGGAGAUAUCCGUUUGGGAGGAUGAGAUACUUUGCUGAACAGGACGUCCUGGUCAGUCCGUUGGUGGGUCUCUACAACGGUAACAUUGCCGAUGGGCGACUAAAGUGGAGAUGUCUGUUUGGGAAGUUGAGGAUUUUGAGGAAUCUGCGGAGGAAUCCAACCAAGGUUGUUCAGAUUAAGGUUGUCGGUUACCAAAUUGGGAAAAUUAAUUCCGGAAAGGCGUCAUUACUGCAGAAAAUUUCGGAGCAUUAAUGAUUUCAUACUCCGAAAUUGGGGGGCAUGUGUUGACACCGUUUUUGGACACGUACCCAGGAUCGGUAGAGUGUAGAUCGACAAGAAAGGGCAAUAGUGGCUGGUCUGCAGAAGAGUUGCCGAUGAGGGUGGUUGCCGAUGAAGAGAUAGCUGAAUGUAGCUAAAUCCAUGGGUGGUGAUGUGUUUAUGCCGAUGACCUGCAUUAAUCGUUGCCGAUGGGGAGUCUGCCGAUGACGUGGAAGGAAGACUUGAAGGUUGCCAAUUGGUCCGUGGUGGUGUCCCAGCUUGUCACGACGGGGUAGUUUUAUGUUUUCCUUAGUUAUUUAAAUCAUUUUGUACACGGAUUCUGUUUAAAUUUGGAAUACGAAUUCUAGUCGUGUCUGAUUGUAGCUCUUUGAGCAGGGUAUAAAUGUGGACCCUAGGGCCUUGUAAUACAUCUAUCAAUCAAUCAAACACACGUUUUUACUCAUAUUCCAGCAUCUACUUUUCGACGACUUCAUCAUAUUUUCCUUUUUACUACGAGUUCUUAGGAGUUCGUCGACUUAAGCUCGGCGUAUUCUCAAGUUCCGCGUGAAUACCUCUUGGCCGUGGCAUCCGGGCGCAUCGCUGUUGUCGGGACCAAAGUAUUCGAGUUAUCACCUUCGCCGAUAGUAAGGUCAAAUCGGCUGGCACGCCUUAACGUUUAAAUCGGGUAUUAGCCCUUUGUGUUUGCAGAUCUAGCUUUUGCAUCAACAGUAAUCCCGACGUGUGGGCCUUUCUUCCGUAUUUCCUGAUAACCCCCUACAGAAAUAGACAAACACCAAAACUCGUGGAAUUCUAUGAGAUAAAACCCUAAGUAUGAAUAUUGAUUUCAUUUGGAUCCUUUUCUUUGUUUAUUUGAUAAUUAAAUUUAAUACUUAAGGACCGUCAACAUGGAGCACGAUCCGCGAGACCUGCCCUGAUUGGUCACCAGGGCAGGGCGGGCGCCCAAGGGGGGAGGGCGGGCGCCCUGCCCCCGGGCCCACUCGGCCUCCCAUUCGUUCCCAUGGCUUCUGGACUCUUCUAGGUUGAGAAAAAUUGCGCGGCACAUAAUUAUCUCGUUGUUAACCUGACGUGUGGGCCUUCUCUCCAUAUUUUCUGAUAACCCCCUGCAGAAAUAGACAAACACCAAAACUCGUGAAAUUCUGUCAGAUAAAACCAUAAUUCUAGAUGUUUGGUGCAUAUUGAUUCUUUUCCAUGUUUAGUUGAUGGUUAAAUUUAGUACUUAAGGACCGUCAACAGAAAGCUCAUCAAGUCCACUUUCCAAUGCCUCAAUUCCCACCCCAUUUGGAUGUCACACUCAAGAGAUAUGUUUGGAUUAGUCAAGACCGCUCAAAAGGUCAACAUUCUGUCAUGACAGAAUAUUGGUUCAACUUGCUGUGCAAACUAUACCAAUCUAUAAUGUUUCAUGGUGCAUGGCAUACGUUGCUGGAAAGCUCUUGGAGUCUAGUUUCACACCCAAGAAACAGUUCAUCAUUUGAACUUUCCAAAAAGGAGUUAUGGUCAGUUUAUUGUAAACUGCUCUAAAGGCCAAAAGUCACGCGAAACCACUUCGUGAAUCCAUUCCUAGGAGACCUUUCACAUUGCCUUCUUUCAGAAACUCCAUUUCAUUUUCAUACCCAUCUAGGAGGGUUGUUCCAAGUAUAAAUAUUCCCUGCCUCUAAGCUAUUAGAAACCUUUGAUCAUUUGAUAAAUUACAUGAUAUUGCAGUCGCGCUGCUGAGUGCCUUACUCAACCUUUGUUCUUUCUUGUUCUUUUUUGAACUUGUGAAGUGAAUCCUCUAGAUUCCCCUAGUUCAUGCUCUACGGUUACCGUUUGGUUGUAUCGUUUUGUGUGGAUUAGCUCCAGAUUAUGGUUCAGCGAUCGUUCAAAGAUCGAGUCAAAGUCUUUGCGGUUUCAGUGCCUCUCUCCCCGUCGCUUAGUCGCAUCCAACCUUGGUGAGGUAUAAAACUAGUUACCCAUUGUUCACAACAAGUUAUCUUUAUUCUUUCAAUCUACUAUCAUGAAGAUCAGGCCACCCUCGUGCUGAUUCAUAUCAGUACCAAUCAAGUACAAUUAUUUAUAUGUCAUUAUAAAAAGACUUUUAUUCCAUAUGUGCCACUUAAAAUCUUAUUGCUCCUACUUGGCUUUUGGGGCAAACUUAUCAAGACCUCAGUGCCAUGCUCCUACUUGGCUUUUGGGGCAAACUUAUCUAUACCUCAGUGCCAUAUCGAUGAUAACUCAAAAAGAGACAGGAAAAAACAUGUUUGUCCCUAUGACUAUGUUGCCUUCACACUCUACCAUCUGACCAAAGCAGACUUUAUUACCUAACUCAUCUCCUCCUCUAUUCUCUCUCUUGGAACCCUAGCUCAAGGAAUGCAGACAGAUGGCGAGAAGAGGCCUUGAAAGCAUCUAGGCCCCAAAUGAGUUUAAGUGAUUAAUGACAAUGUUGAUUACUAUGACUAAUGUGUGUUUUGUAGUGGCAACUCAAGUGAGUUAGGUCAUGGUAAUGGUGAUCGAUGGACUAUUAAGUUCGUGCCCACUUGUUGAAGGAAAUUGUUUCGGUUUUCAAAGGAUGGUGGACAUUGUCAAGAUUAGACUAGGUCUAAGUACCAUUUGGAGUUGAAGGGUGCUUAGAGUAGUCUAGGACUUUGUUUUUCCUUUGACCGUACUAUUAAGGGGGCAACGAACGGGUAACUUGUCCUAGGAAAGGCUUUAAGUUUAGAUGUGGUGCACACUUGUCAAAUCUAGAACUAGGAAGCUCAAAGAGAGUCCUCAGAUUGAGAGGAUCAAACUUCAUUUUGAAAAGUUCACGAUUCGAUGAAGUAUUGAUUGAGUCUAGGCAUCGGACGCUAGCACCGGACGCACCAGUGGGAUUGCUUGCUUGCGUCCGGUGUAUGCAGGAGUUUGAGCCAACGUGCCACAUGUCUAGGGUAUGACAGCGGACACAAGCACCCGACGCUUCCGGGUGCAUCCAUUCCCUUACCUAGGGAGUUUGUCAAAGAAGUUUUCUCACCGGACGCGUUUAGGGGGAGGACAUCGGACGCUUCUGUGCGUCCGGUGUGAGUAGGUUUUCAAAGUGCAACUAGCCGUUGGAGAGGCACUGGACUCUCUGCGAAGAGCGUCUGAUGCAACAUAAAUGGUGUUCGGUGCAUAGGAAAUCUGUUGAUUUUGUGUGGUCGGCUCUUGAACUUGAUGGGGGGUAUUUAUACUUAUCCACCUUGCCCAUUUGUUCAGCUGAGAAACACCUUGUGGUGCAAGAGAGAAGCAAGAGCCUAGAGAAGAUUGAGAUUUGAGUGAUUUCUUGAGAGAUCCUUCUCUAGUGAGAAUCAAGAGUUUAAGUGUGAAUCCACCACUCUCUUUAGCCUUGUGUGGGUCAAGUGAGAGUCCAUUGCUUGUUACUCUUGGUGAUCGUUGUCACCUAGACAGUUCGGUGGUGAUUAGAGGUACAAAGAUCACCCGGUGUUCUUGUGGGUGGCUCGUGUCAAGCUUGUGAGUGGUUGUGGACGAUUCACCAUGACGGAGUGUCAAAGAAUCAGCCCAUAGAGAGCACUUGGUCCUUACGCGGACCAAGGGGGAGCAAGGCCCUUGCGCGGGUGCUCCAACGAGGACUAGUGGGGAGUGGCGACUCUCCGAUACCUCGGCAAAACAUCGUGGUGUUCCUCUUCCUCUCAUCCUUUACUUUCUAGCAUUUACUUUGAGCACUUUACAUUCUUAGAAUUGCCAUGCUAGAAUAGAAUUGGAACUACUUUCUAGCCACUUUAUUUAUUUAUUAAACACACUAAGCAAAAGACAUAUAUUUAUAAGCAUAAAAUCUUUAUUUGGUUUUUUCUGUAGUUAUGUAUAUUUAAAUUCUAAUAUAAUACAAAGAUAGGUAGAAAUACUUAUCGGGAUAAGCGGGGGUGCUCUCCCCCAAGCUGAAUUUUGACGUAAUUUCUCUUGAUGUAGCUAGCAGGUGGCAGAGGUGUAUUUGAAAGUCAGCAACAUUCCGACAGCGAUUAGAAUGUCCUCCGUCUGCUAGUCUUCUUAAUUCUUAAAUUUUGUGGAGCUCAAAUAGACAACAAAGCUUGUGGAACUGAUUAAGUGUUAGCAUAAAUAUCUAUCCUUCAUCAUGUUGAGACUCCUCAAUAAAUAUUACUCCCCAUUUUUUUAUAUUUUCAUUUUAUAAAGCAGAAAAGAAAUAUUUAUUUUAUUUUUAUGCCACUACAGUGAAUGUACUUAUGGGUUUCAUGCCACUCGUAUACUCACAUGGGGCGUACUGUUUUUUAACAUUUUUAUUUUCUUUUUAGGAUAGCAUGAACAUAAUUAACUAAGCAAACUAUUUAAAUAAUUGAAAGGGAAAGGAUAACUACCAAGUUUACCUCUUGGCAAGGCGUUCGGUGUUUUUAAGUCCUCCGAACGGGACUCUCCGUCUUCUCAGUUGUCCUGGGAUUCGUUGGGUGGCGUAGUCGGUACUUCCGGCGGCGCCUCUUCUUCGUAUAUAGUUAUCUUCUCUUUCCUCACCUGACUCGGUGCUACGGUCUCCUCAGGAUAGUUCUGUUUAAACUGUAUGUCUUCUGACCUUACAACUUCUCCUUCAUAGUCUGCCCAUCCGUCCUUGAUAAUUUCCCUCCUCUGGUUGCGGUUGCGUCGCUUUCUCACCUGCUUAGAUUCUUCAACGAUAUAGUUAGGGUCAGUAAAAUAGCGGCGUACCUUCUCUGAGGGGAAGUGCAUAUGGACUUCUCCAGUUCCAAUGUAGAUGAUUGCUUUAAUGGUGCUGAGGAACGGUCUCCCAAGGAUGAUGGGUGGAUCGUAUUCGUCUUCUCCCAUGUCAAUAACCUAAAAGUCUGUGUAGACAAAAUGAUCAUCUAUUUUGAUAGGGACAUCAGUUACUAUUCCUUUAACCUCUCAAAAUGUCUGAUCUGCCAUCUGGAGCUGAAUGUAUGUUGGUUUUAGGGGCAUGGUUCCGAACAAGAGCCGACAGGUGACUGCGGCCAUUAUGUUGACGCCCGAUCCGGUGUCACAAGUCGUCUUGUAGAAGUUGUAUCCAUUUAUGGAGCAAUAGAUGCUUGGCAUUCCUGGGUCGUCCUUCUUGGUCAAAAACGGUGACUUAAGUUGGUGAUCUUGGCCUCCAUGAACUACAGUGACCAUCUUAGCUGACUCGGUCCACACUUGCUUGUUCCUAUUCCUCCUGUUGGUCCUCUUCCUUGAUUCAUGUCUGGAUUGAUCUGGGAUUUGUGUAGUCUUGUUCUUGAAGAAAAAUGUCUCCUUCCCCCCUUUGAUGUAGAAACUGAUCUUGGCAGCACUAGCGUAGAUGACAGCUCCCGAGGUGUUCAAGAAUGGCCUCCCUAAGAUGAUGGGUGCUCUCUCAUCAUUACCGGUCUCUAUCACCACGAAGUCUGUUGGGGCAUACAAGGUACCAACUCGGACACAAAGGUUCUUCAAUAUUCCUUUUGGAAAACUUAAUGCCUGAUCUGCAAACUGCAAACACAUGGUUGUUUCUAAUAAAGGAUAUGUAAAGAAUUUUUCAUAGAGUACCCUGGGUAUAAUGUUGACACUAGAGCCAAAGUCGCAGAGUGCUUCUAGGACGUCGACCAUGCCGAUGGAGAUCGGGAUGACGGGGCGUCCUGGAUCACCUCUCUUGACCGGCAGAAGGUCAGUAGUGAAUUUAGUGAUGGGGUUACUCCAGUUAUUACCUCCAUCAAACAUGUCUACAAGAUUUGCAGAUUCUAAUCCUUGAUAAUUACCUAAGUAGUUAGGCCUCUGUUGAUUCCAACCUUGAUUUUGUUGAGGACGAUAGUAGUAGUUGUUGUUAUUGUUGAUGUAGUUCACAUCCUCAAGCAUCUCAGGGCAGUGAUUGCCUGAGUGUCCAGUGUCUCCACACUCCUCACAAGUCAUGUGAGAGUCGUAGAUGUGCAUAACUUCUUUCUUAUCUCCAGCGCUAUCAUCGAGCUUCUUCAUGAGCAGGUCUAGCUUUGCAGACAGCAUGUCUACCUCCUUGAGCUGAUGCAUACCUCCACCUUUCUUGCGUGUCUGGGUCCUCUCUUCAUUCCACCCUUGGUUGGACGCCAUCUUCUCCACAAGAGCUGUGGCUUGUGAUAUGGUAAGUGAUAAGAAUGCUCCUCGAGCUGCAGCAUCCAUGGUUUCUCGGGCAUUGUUGCUGAGCCCAUGAUAGAAUGUCUGCAUAAGUAGCCAACUCUCCAUUCCAUGAUGGGGACAUUCUAGGAUGUAGUCUUGGAAGCGCUCCCAUGCUUCUGGAACAGAUUCAUCAUUUUGUUGCUGAAAACUUGUAAUCUUCCCACGGAGAGCAUUGGUCUUGCCCAUGGGAAAGAACUUAGCUAGAAAGUUAGUUGAGCAGAGUGCCCACGUAGUAUUCUUCUCCUUUGUAGCGUAAAACCACUGCUUCGCUCUUCCUAACAGUGAGAAUGGGAAGAGGUGAAGUAGUAUAGCAUCUCUGGAGAUUCCUGAUAUGGUGAAUGUGCUGCAUAUCUCCAGAAAGUGUUGGAGAUGAGCACUAGCAUCUUCGUGUGCCUUCCCAUAGAACUGGUUGGAUUGCACCAUGUUGAUAAGUCCAGGCUUGAGCUCAAAGUUGCCGUCGAUCUCUGCAGCAGGUCCAUUGAGGAUGUUGUCCGUAGUGGGAGCUGAGAACUCGCGGAUCGAUUUGUUCGCCAUGGCUUCGAACUCUGAAGACAAGUUCCGGUGAUCUUCUUGCUGAAGUGUUGAUGAUCUCCUCUUGAGCUUGGCUCUUGUUUUUCUGAAUAAGGCUUCAGGAUUGUCAACAAAAUUUCCUGGAAGAUGUCUUCUAUUCAUACAUUCUCCUGCAUAAGAUAAAAUAGAGAAAUAUCGGGGUAAAACUGUAUGAGAGAAUAGAUAAGCUCAAUCACAUUAGUGAUGCGAAUGAUAACUCAAAAUCCUUUAUUCCAUUCCUGAUUAGUAAUCAACCUUCCCCGGCAACGGCGCCAAAAAUGCUUGUUGGGUAUUCUUAACAUCAUUACCAAAAGUAGACUUAGUUUUCUAAUUCUAGUAACGGUGCCAAAAAUGCCAAACCUAUCCCUCAUACCACUUAAGCCAAGUUGUCAUCCCCAGCAUGACAUGAGAGAUGCGGUAUUGAAAUAUGCAAUUGCUCUUCUAAAUAAAUACUGAAUGGGAUCUGCAAGCGCACAGAUUAAUACCAAUGUAGCAUUUUAACCGGGAAGUAUUCCAGGUAUCGUUAUUUAUAUUUUUACCACUGGGAAGGGAUUAGUAAUCAUCAAUAUUGAUUACAGAAUAGAAUAUGAGAUUGAGUAUCUAUCAUUGCAUGUAUAAUUGAGAACAUUGUAUCUAAUUCUUUCAUACAGGGAUAAGUGUCACAUAAAAGAUAUAUGAAGUAAUGAAUAGUGACAAAGAUAAUUAAUCUGAUCAUAACUUAGCCACAUAAUAAAUAUGAUAAGCACCUCAAUUAGAUACUCUAGAAAGUCAUUAGCAUGGAAUUAGAAUGAACUACAAGAAUAUUUCCUAAGUUAUUCUCAACUAUAUAGUUUAGCAUUAUCAUAGUUAGUGCAAGCAUACUUAGCAAUCAUUGUGAGACAAGACUACGCCCAUGCAUAGUGAUAUUAGCAAGGUAAAUGAGAAACAUAGCAAUCACUCCCCUGUAAUAAUGUUGCUCUGCCAGCCCAAUACACGAGAGGGGGACUAUAUAAGAAUCAAUGAAGUUGUCACUAUCACGAACUACCCUGCUGUGGGGGUAUAAACCCCUAUACCCUCAUGGGCCUAUAUGGGCCGCACCAUCAGAGGUGGCUCGGCCCACAAGAUGAAGACGUGCGGCGCACGACUAGUCGACGUGCACCGCAAGGCUACAAGAUUUUGUACCAAAUAGGAUACUUUGCUUGUAACUCUGUCCCUUCAGGAUAUAUAAGGAGAGGCAGGGGUCCCCUAGAGGACAGAUCAUACAUCAUAUUCUCUCAACACAAAUCAAUACAACCAGACGCAGGACGUAGGUAUUACGCCAACUCGGCGGCCGAACCUGGAUAAAAAGCUUGUCCGUGUCUUGCGUCACCAUCGAGUUCGUAGUUUGCGCACCGUCUACCGAUAAACUACUACCGUGGGUAUACCCCAAGGUAGACUGCCGACCAGCUUUCGUCGACAGUGGCGCGCCAGGUAGGGGGUGUGCGUACAACUUCUCCGACGAACGAGAUGGUCAUCAUCCCCGACUUCGUGGCCAUGGCGGGCGACUUCACGUUCACCGUCAGCUUCAACAGCUUCACCGCCACGACCACGGAGGAGGUGUAGAUCCGAUCUGUGCCAACCACUUCUUCAUCGACGUCGGCGGCGGCUUCAACCACGCUGGCUACGACUCCAACUACUCCAGCAACGUCUCCGACCAAGCCGACAACGCGUCACCUGCUUCCCUGCUACAAAGGAAGGCAGAUCGACGACAUCGACCUGCUCGGGCUAUCGACCAAGUUUUUUGGCCUACUUGCUCUGACCACCUGUCGCAAUAAUAAUCGCCGCGAAGAACGGCGCUACGACAGCCGCGACCACCAUCACGACAACAAGUCAAGCAACUCUCCCGACCAGACUUUCGUCCAAAGAUAAGUACAAUUCUAAUAUUUUAUUUAUUUUUGGCAUAAUAUUUUUAAGAUUAUUAUUCUUAACAACUUUUUAGCCGACUAGUUUUUUCUCCUACACGAGCUUUCCAGAGCCGGUACUGUCUCCGACUCCUCCCUACACGUGCACGAGAUCCGCCCUCUGCGUUCCGGGUGGUCGGCAGUAGCUCUCUGACGUGGCUGACAAUCCUACGCGUUCCUAGGUUCCGCACCUCAUGCUGAUUGUUGGCUAGAUCAGAGCUGGUACAAGCUCUAGGAUGAAUUAAUUACUCGUGCUAAUUUUAUAACAAAAAAUCUAAAACUUAUCUUAGUACUGAUUUUUUAUCUAGAGUUUAUUUAUACAUCAUAUACUACCUAUUCUUUAUAUUUAUUUUUCAGGAGUUUGGCCCAGUCGACAAGCUACGCUUGGAGACUCGUCGACUAUACCCUACGCUGUGUCCGAGGACUGCUCCGACCACCGAGCACGUUUACGUUCCCAACCACGCUCGGGGACUUGUCGACUACUCUCUAUGCUAUGCUCGAAGACUGUGCCGACCACCGAGCACGUUUACGUUCCCAACCACGCUCGGGGACUUGUCCACCGGUCCCUACGCCGUGCUCGGGGACUGUGCCGACCACCGAGCACUAUACGCUCGGCGACUGUUCGAUCAGCUCACCAAUUUGAGAGUUUUUGGACUGUACCGACCACCGAGCACUACACGCUCGGGGACUGGUCGACCAGCCCACCAAUUUGAGAAUUCGGGGACUGUACCGACCACCGAGCGUUAUAUACUCGGGGACUGGUCGAUUAGUCUAUUCAAUUGCAGACGGACUGGUAAAUUCAAUUUUUUAGACCUUGCUACAAGGCUCAUACUUCGCCUUCCAGCAAGCUCGGGGACUACAUCGGUACGAUGCAUCUGGCGAUGCAUCUCAGUUUUAGAAUUUCUUUGAGGACUUUUCUUUUGACCCUGGCACCACAUGCCUACGUCACCUACUACCAGGCUCGGGGACUAAGUGGGCACACUUCGCCUUGCGGUGAAUAUGCUUGCUUUUUUGAGGACUAUACUUUUCAGAAAAGUAAAGUGGACACACUUCACCAGGAAAGAAAUUUUUUUUAAUUUAGAGCACCAUGCAUUCUUCGAACAACCUGCUUCUUCGAUGUCAAUGUUGAUCAACUGUCUUGGUCAAAAUACCGUUGCAACUGUUUGGGCGACUUUCCUGCUUAUUGAAGACGUCAAGCCUCACUGAUCGAAGAAGCUCAAGAUGGCGUGUUACAUCAUAAUACAUGGUGCUCGGGGACUAGCUGUGGGGGUAUAAACCCCUAUACCCUCAUGGGCCUAUAUGGGCCGCACCAUCAGAGGUGGCUCGGCCCACAAGAUGAAGACGUGCGGCGCACGACUAGUCGACGUGCACCGCAAGGCUACAAGAUUUUGUACCAAAUAGGAUACUUUGCUUGUAACUCUGUCCCUUCAGGAUAUAUAAGGAGAGGCAGGGGUCCCCUAGAGGACAGAUCAUACAUCAUAUUCUCUCAACACAAAUCAAUACAACCAGACGCAGGAUGUAGGUAUUACGCCAACUCGGCGGCCGAACCUGGAUAAAAAGCUUGUCCGUGUCUUGCGUCACCAUCGAGUUCGUAGUUUGCGCACCGUCUACCGAUAAACUACUACCGUGGGUAUACCCCAAGGUAGACUGCCGACCAGCUUUCGUCGACACCCGCGAUCUGGCAUAUUGGGUACAAUCGCAGAUAAAUACGGUAUAAGCACCACGCCUACACAAUAUCUAUCAUUUACCCAUGGAUCCAAUGGAUAAACGCUAUACGAUCCUAAACAUGUAUAUAGAUCCAAUCUAACUAAGCCAAGUACAUAACUAUGAUAAACUAAGAACAAUAUAAUCUUGAAUAUAAACAAGUAGAGCAAAGUCAUAAGCAAUAUAUUGAAGUAGAACAAAGUCAUAUUCAUAAUAUUGAAGAACAAAGAUGAUUAGAAGAACAAUUAGAAGCACAAUUAGAGAAUUACCAAGAAUCCUCUUGACAGAUCCGGAAACCAAUCGAAGAUUGACUCCUUCUAGUUCUAAUCCUAUAUAGCUAUGCUAAUCUAGAUAUCUAAUUGAUGUAGUGGCUCUAAUCUUGAUCAGGGGCUUCUUCUCCCUUGAGGAAUAAUGAGUUAGGGUUGAGAGGCUCUCUCCUCCAGGGGCCAGGGGGUCUGGUUUUAUAGUCCCUUCAAGUGAAUAUGGGUCGUUGGAUCAAACCGACAUUGAUUGAACGGUUAUCCUUGAUCCUUUAGGUCGGUGGAGAUCUUUCCUGAGAGAGAGUCCUGAUUGGACUCAGAGAGGGGGCGGGCGCCCAGGGCAACUGGGCGGGCGCCCAGUGCCUAGCCCCGUUCGGCCUCUGCUUCCUUUUCGUGGCUUCUGGAGUCUUCUAGAUGUAAGAUAAUUGCGCGGCACGUUGAUAUCUCUAUGUAAUCCCGACGUGUGGGCCUUUCUCCCUUAUUUCCUGAUAACCCCAUGCAGAAAUAGACGAACACCAAAACUCAUGGAAUUCUGUCAGAUAAAACCCUAAGUCUAGAUGUUGAUUUCAUUUGGAUCCUUUUCUUUGUUUAUUUGAUAAUUAAAUUUGAUACUUAAGGACCGUCAACAAUAGGGUAGGGAGCAAGGUGGAUUAUUUUGGAUCCAAGGACAUGUGCACUAAGGGGCCUCUGAGGGUGCUCAUGAGAUCUAUGGAAUCGCGUUGGCAGUGUCAGAUGUGUAGCUGUAACCAAGAACCCACUACUACAAUAAAUUUAAUGGAGCCUAUUCCUUUUCGUUUUCAGAGGCAGGCAAAAGCAACAGCUUCCAAGCAAAGGUCACGGUUAAUCCAUGAAUAACGAAGGCAACUGGCUUACUUGCCUCCGUUAAUGGAUUAAAAAAAUAAAAAAGCCCAAAGCCCGCUUGAGAGCCGAUUUUGAAGCCCACCAGCGAGCUCACCUGCUCCACGCCAUUGCUGUCGGAUCUAGGGUUCAUGAAAUGAACCAUCACUAGAUCUGGAAUCGUGCACCGUGCCACCAUUGGAUAGAGGAGGGAGGUGGAUCCCAUCCACGUACCACCUAAUCUGGUCAGGGCAGGAGGGCUCCACCACACCGCCACCCGAUCCGCACUGUAGGCCACCAGAUCUCUACGCCGCCACCGUCGACGCAACUGCUCAGCGAGAUCUAGCUGCUGGGAUCCGCCGAGAGAGGAGUAGCACCGCGUCGCCUCCGCACCCAGCCAACAUCGUAGCUCCUCCUGGAGGGCCACCAGAGGGAGAGGGAGGCGAGGCAAGGCCUCACCCGCCUGUGUGACCACUCCGCCGCACCUGUGCACGUGUUCGAGCCGCUCCACCAUGCACCCACGUGCAUGGGUGCUCCACCAAGCCACUUGAAAGUUCUAGGUUUUGGAUAACUGAUGAAACCUAUGUGUACUAACCUUUGUCAUGAGUGAAAUAUAAGGAUAGGUUGGUACACACCAAGUGAUGGAGCUAGAUGAUGGUCAUGGUGAUGGAGGUGACCAAAAGAUGAUAUUCAAGUGCUCCAACUUGGAAAAGAAGAAAGAGAAAAACAAAAUGGGCUCAAGGCAAAGGUAUUUUUAUUAGGGCCAUUUUGUUUUACCACUCAAGACACCUAGCGGGUGUGAAUGGAUUUAGGAUAGAUAACCGUACUAUAAAGAGGGGAAAUUUUUAAUUGCAAUGGUUAUCUAGUGCCACUAAGUGUGAGUCUCAUUUGCAUAUACCUAGCGCUUAGUGACGUGGUGAGUUGCAUGAGAAAGCCUAUAAAAAUGAUUGUGAAAUGCUAACACACAUGCACAUAGUGGUGUACACUUGUUGGUGUUGGCACAUUUGCAAAGGACAAGGUGUUGGAGUUGAUUUUGAUCAACUUGGAGAAGAGAGAGAGGCUUUUCGGUGUUCUUCGGACAUUAGGAUGGCAUUUAGAUUGAAAUACUGCUUUGAUCCAUUAUGACUUGGAUUGAGUAUCCAUAUGGAUUGUAUAGCCCUCUGAGUAAGCUUUCCAAAAUGUCCAAGAUCAUCAAAUUCGGAGUUCGGAGCUAAAAGUUAGCAACCUAACAAGGUUUGAGAUGGUGCUAAGAAUGCAGGACCGGAAGUUCCGGUGAAAGUUUCGGUCAGUUCGACAGGAAGUUUCGGUUGGGCUGUGAGAGGUGUGCUCGCAUUUGAGAAAACACUUAUGGUGUCUGACCGAAAGUUCCUAUCCAUGACCAGAAGUUCCGGUCCACAACCAGAAGUUCCGGUUCAUGAACGGAAGUCCGCAUAGGAGCCUUUGCGCAUGCCCUCACGUGUUAGGAUUCACUUCCGAUCUUUGACCGGAAGUUCCGGUGGGUUCGAGCCUCUACAACAGUCAGAUCUGCUUAGUCUCCAACAGUCAGAUCUCCUUGGAUCGAGUCUCCAACGGUCAGAUUUGCUUGGACUGGAAGUUCUGCACUAUAAGUACUCGUUUCCUUCGUUUCUGAUGGGGCAACUCAAAUAGAACACUUUUUCUGACUUCCGGUGGCUCUUCUAAAGAGUAGAGAAAGCUCUCCCUUCCUCCUCUCUCACUCCCUAGGCUUUGUGCUCCAUUCAAGUGAGAGAUUGAGCUCAAGUGACAGAUCUGAGAGCUUCAAGAGCAUCUCCUUCCUCUCCUCUCCAUCUCCAUAGCUUGGUGCUCAUUGGUGAGAAGAUUUGCGGAAACCCUAGUUUUAUGCUUUUGUGAUUUCAUUCUUGUGGCACUAGGUGGUGAUUGCAAUUAUGGAUUUCUUAUUACUCUUGGUGAUUGCCAUCAUCUAGACGGUUGUGGAUUUGUUUAUUGGUGAGGGGAUUUGGUGAUUGUGUCCACCCCUAAUCAAGGUGAUAUUUGUGAGGGGUUCUUGGGCUUAUUCCCCGACGGAGUGCCAAAAGACACUCUAGUGGAUUGCUCGUGUCAUUGAGUUACCUCACUUGUGGGCCGGUUCUUGCGGUGUCCUAGUGAGGACGAGGUUCGUGCUACACCUCUUAGCCGCCGAACCACCAAGUGUUGGUUGACACAACGGGGACGUAGCGUGUCGGCAAGCACGUGAACCUCGGGAGAAAAAUCGGUAUUUCAAUUGUGUUUGAUUGACAUUCUCCCGGUGAUUGAUUGUUCAUAUAUUGGUGAUUGGUUCAUCCCCCACACGGCGGUACAAAUUUCUCAUCCUCUUCAUUUACUUACUGCAAAGUAGUGUAAUUAGUUUAGUUGCUUACUUUGUCUUGUGUAGCAUAGUUCUCUAGUGUAGCUUGUAGUGACAUAGCUCUUGUGUGCCCAGUGUUCAUAUCAACUAGAAUUAUUGGAUAGGUGGCUUGCAAACACCCCAUUAGAGCUAGAGCAAAAAGCUUUGCUUUGUUAUUUACUAACCUCUUGCUCUAGUAAGUUUGUAGAAUUUUUAAAUUUUAAAUAGGCUAUUGAAAGGUCCUUGUUUGGUUUUGGUAAUUGAGUGACAACUUAGGUGGACUAAUAGUGUUUAUGUGAGAUACACAGGAAAUUAGUCCACAGGUGAUGAUAUGAUGAUGGAGGAGCUCAUUGCACAUGAGACAUGACAUGGAGUCAUGUGACCAAGGUGGAGAAGAUCAAGAUGAGGCUUGGCUUGAUGGACUGGUUGCAAGUGUGAAGGGCAAGUCGGAGGCUUUGAAGCGAGGGACCGCGUGUGACGGUGAAGCUUGAGCAAGACUUGGCGCCGAUGGACCGAGGCAACAGUGAAGAGCAAGUGAGGUCAAGAUCGAUGAACCAAUACGGUCAUGUGAUGAUAUGAAGUGGAUCAUAUCAUUUGGUGAUUGGUUGGUGCAUGUGUUGCAUCAACAUUGGAGGAGAUGGAAUGGAAAGCGCAAGGCAAAGGUAUAACCUAGGGCAUUUCCAUUUCACCGGUCAUAGGUGUGUAGAGAAGUUUAUGACUGGAUUUAGGAUAGAUGGCCAUACUAUCAAGAGGGGCAAACUUGUUUGCAUAUCGGUCAUCUAGUGCCACUUGAGCGAUCUAACUUUGCAUACGUAUUAGGAUCGAGUGGCAUGGCAAGUUGAGAGGCUAACUCCUUUGGGAAAAUGUUUGUGAAAUGCUAACACACUUGCACAUGGUGGUGUACACUUGGUGGUGUUGGCACAUUUACAAAGGAGGUGGAGUUCCUAGGGUUGAGAGGGGUGUGGGUUCCUCUCUCCCUCUCGCCGAGCCUGCGAGGCGGGAUUCGGCGCUUUUGAGAAAAAUAAGUGUAUAUUUUCUAUUGCGCCGGUGGGAAUAUUGGAGAAGUCGCGGGAGUGUUUUCUCACUGAGAAACACUCACCGGACGCUGAGUGCGGAGGCACCGAACGCUGGCUUCAGAGUCCGGUGUGCUUGACCCUGCUAGGGUUGAGCACCGGACGCUCUCUGAGUGCGUCCAGUGGUGUGCGUCCGGUGUGAGGACGUUUUGUGACCCUCUCUGCGCAUGGGUCCGGUGAGCACCGGACGCUACCGGUGCUUAGCGUCUGGUGACCCUGCGGUUUGUAAAACUCUCUGCGCACGGGUCCGGUGUGCACCGAACGGGUCCGGUGUGGACUAGUUGAGCGUCCGGUGGUGCUAUGUCAGGCUCGAGUGCGUGGUAGCCGUUGGCGACAAUGGUGGACUUCAAACGGCUAGUGACACGUGGCUGACGCCUAAGCACCGGACGCUAGGGGUUGAGCGUCCGGUGGCUCCCUGUGAGCGUCCGGUGCCCACGAGUUUUGUCCAGUGAAAGGGCAACGACUAGUUUAGCCCUUGGGGCUAUAAAUAGAAGUGGUGGCCAGCCUUGGCUAGUGCUGAGCACCCUUGGGACUUAGUGUCCAUGCUUGGGGAGUGCUAGUAAAGCCUCUAACUCACAUAUGCUUGAUAGUGAUCAUCCGAUUAUGUGAGUGAGCGAUUCUAGUGCGUUGCAUUGAGAGAUUGCAUCGAGUGGCACUAGGUGUUCGUGUUGCAAGCCGGUGGUGCUUGUUACUCUUGGAGGUUGCCACCUCCUAGACGGCUUGGUGGCUUGUGACUCCGUCGAAGCACGCAAGGAGAUUGUGCGGUGCUCCGGAGAAGAGAUUGUGAGGGGUAUGGUGCUCACCCCGCGGGGAUCGCAAAGAGCAACUCUAGUGGAUUGCUUGUGGCUUGGAGGAUCCCCAUCUUGAGAGUGGAUGUGCGGCACCCGCUGAGGGUUUGGCUUUGGAAUGCCAAAUAGCUCGUGAUCCAUCAAGUGGGUGUAUCGCCACAGCGAGGACGUAGCUUGGUGGCAACCAAGUGAACCUCAGUAAAAAUCACCGUGUCAACAUUGUCUACUCUUCUCUGUGGUUUGCAUUCGCUAUACACGAGCUUGUAUUUAUAUUCUUUAUAUACUUGUGCUUGUGUAGUUGCUUUUGUAAUUAGUUAAGCUUGUGUUGCUUGCUAGUUACCUUCUUGCUUAUGUAGCUAGAAGUAGUUCCCUUGCGUGGCUAAUUCGGUUUGUGUAACCUUGUUAGUCACAUUGCUUAGUUUGUGUAGCUAACUAAGUUGCGCUCUCUAAUUUGGCAUUAGUUGCCUUGUUAUUGAGCUUUCUAGUGAGCUUAGGCUUUGUGCACUUUGCCUCACUAGUUUGUGUAGGAGCUCCCCCGGUUUGCAAAGUACUAGUUGCAUAGGUUUGUGUGACCUUGCUCCUAGAAUUGGUUAGGUGAGCUCUUGCUAAGGUAGCACCUUGCUUGCUUGUUUAGAAUCUUUUCAAGGUGCUAGAGAACUUAGAUAGAGGGGUGUAGUCAUGGCUAGACCGAUAGUUUUAAUUCCGCAUUUGUUUCGGUUAGCCGGCGUGUUAAAGUUUUAGAAAGGACUAUUCACCCCCCUUCUAGUCCGCCAUCUCGACCCUUCAGCUAUUCACCCCCCUCUAGCCAUAUUAGGACCUUUCAUCGCUGCGCCCAUGGUAUUGGGCCAUUGUGCCCACGUCGCUGGGUUGCCGUGCUUGCAUGGUCGCGCACGGCGAGACAAUGCGUGGGGAGGAGUGAGAGAGGGUGGUUGGGUUGGGAGGAGUGAGAGAGGAAGACGUGUGGGAGAGAAGGGAGCAACGGGAGGUGCGCCGCGCGUGAGUAGGGAGCGACAAGGGAGAGGGCCAAGAGAGAGUGGAUAGAGAGGAAACCCUAGCUCCCUUUUAUAUAAGAGGGCCAAGAUGGGUUAUCCGAGGCAGGCCUUAUAGUACGUCUGUCUCAAUUAAUGUAUUAACUGAGACGUUCGUGUUAGAAAACCGCUUCGGUUAAUCUAUAUUGAUCGUGGCAGGCAUUUUAGAUUGUUCGCCUUUGUUAAUAGAUUAACCGAGGCGGUUAUUUGUAACCACCUCGCUUAAUAAAUAAUGUCUGCCUUAGUUAAUCCAAGACAUUAACUGAGGCGAUUGUAAAUCCUGUCCGCCUCCGAGGCCUUUGUAAAAUGUCUCGCAAAUUUUUUUUAAGUAAUUAUGCCUCAAUGAAUCAUACAAUGACCACUUAGUGCGAUAAAGUCAUUACUACCUAGGGGUUGGACGGUCUGUUAGAGAUCAUUCCAUCAUCCAACAUACACUCUGGAGCAUUUUCAAUGCAUAUUUUAAGUCCAAUCUUAACUAGUUUGUCUUCUUUGAGAUACUCGACUUACAACCACUCCAAUGGGGUUACUUACUAUCAUGAUGUUAACAGAGAGUUAGCUUCUUGCAUAUCCCAAUGCUCUCGCUCUAGCUCUCUCAAGACGAACUCCUUGUCCUUCCAUCUUAAUGGUAUAGUCAAAGAAAAAAUAAAGAUCUACUCCACACUAUGGCAAUUGGCAAAGGUCAGUACCUUUGUUUGUGUCGUUCGUCUUAUAAAUAUUCUUUGUGUCAUACUCAAUUAUUAAUGCUUUAUUUAGCAUGACUUCUCCUUAAGUGCUUCUCUAGAUAAAUUACAAAUUGCAACUUUUCUCUAGAAAAAACACAGCUAAGACUCCCCUAAUAUUCACGGAAAAAUGGUUCCUUUGCUGAAAGUGUUUAGUACCUAUUGUUGGAGCUAGAGGCGGAGCCUUUCCUAAACAUAUCCGGUUUAAGUCUUUGUAGACAAGAUAUUUGUGGCCUUUUAAUUUGUACGUGUGUAAAUCAUUUGUAAUAAUUGGAUAAGGGCGAGUUUCAUUUCAUGUUGCCAUGUGCUCGAAAAGAAAAAAAAAAUGGGACAACAUAGCAGCGAAUCCAACCUUUGAAGUGGUAAACAGAGGAAGUCAGAAUCUUUAAACCGGUAAUUAGCAAAAAUCUCGUAAAAUCUUAGAAGGCUUGGGAAUUGGGUGUUACCCUAAAUUCAUCGUGGCACGCGAACUGAAACCCAAAUUAUGAGAUCUCUCCUAAUUAGCUUGGCUGGCGGAGCUCGAUUCGAUGCGUUGCUGAGCCUGGGUAAUCGAUUCCUGCUGGGCGGUGGCGCGGUCGGAGGGAUCUGAACCCUAGCGCCGUCCAGAUCUGGAACCCGCGCCGGCGAGCUGCUCGGCGCCUCGGCGGCAUGAGUGGCUGGAAAGCGGGGGGGAGGAGAAGCAGCGGAGAUAUGAACCGAGACGGCGGCGGCGGCGGCAGCGGCAGCGGGGACGAGUUCGGGCGUGCGGUGGCGCGGGCCGCGGUGGCGCAGGCGCUGGAGGCCGCGGGGUUCGACUGCGCGCACCGCUCCGCGGUGGACGCGGUCGUCGACAUCGUCCUGCGCUAUAUCACCCACCUGGGCCGGUCCGCCGCCUUCCACGCCAACCUCGCCGGCCGCGCGCUCGCCAAUGAGCUCGACGUCAUCCAGGCGCUCGAGGAGGUCGGCGCCGACACGGAUGGUUUCGCGGGCGCGGCGACCACGGGCCACUGCCUCGUCGGCUCCGGCGUCGUCAAGGACCUCUUGGCGUUUGUCUAUUCCAAGGACGAGGUGCCAUUCGCGCGGCCGCUGCCUAGGUUCCCCAUCCAGCGCGCGGAGCCGCAGCCUUCUGCCAGCUUCGCCGUGACGGGGAGGGAGACUGGGAUGAGGCACGUGCCGGAGUGGCUGCCCGCGUUCCCAGAUCCGCACACCUAUGUGAGGACGGAGGUGUGGGUUGAGCCGCCGGCGACCAAGGACAGGGUUGACAAGGUGGAGCAGGUGCGGCAACGAAGGAAAGCUGAGAAGUCCCUGCUCAGCCUGCAGCGAAGGCUGGCCAUGGCAGGUGCGGAUGGGUUUCGUCCAGCUGUUGCAGUGGCACAGGAUAGUGCAGAGAAGGGGAAGGAGAUACAGGCAGCUGGGACGAAGAGAAAUCCAUUUCUUGAGCCAGCAUUGUUGCCUGGAGAGAAGGAUGUAUCCGAGGUUGAUCUGCCUCCUGAAAAGAAGAAACUCUCUGUCCUUGAGGCAUUUGCGCCAGCUAUUCAAGUUAGAACCAUCAGGGAGAUUGAUGCUGGGGCAGGGUUGGAUCAAAAUCAAAGGAGCAUUGUUCCAAAAGAGAGGGCUCCAGUGCAUCUUAAGAUUGGAUUUAGUAAGAAGCCAUUAGAAGCAGCUCUGAAUUCAAGAGCCCUGGACCUGAGGGAAGACCCUUCCUUCUUGAAAGAGGAAGCAAAGGAUGAUAAGAAGCGGAGAGCGGGCAUGAUAUUAAGGGCAUCAAUGGAGAACCCACAAGAACUUCCUCAGCUCUAAAGUUGUUUGUGGAGGUAGUGCAGUUCCAAGAGCGGAGUCACAUCAUGGUGUCAUCUUAGAACUUCAGUUUCCAGAAUCUUGAGGUAAACAUUUAUCUUGUGGUAACAUUGGUCCAGACUGUCAAUUGCUCUAGAUGUCCAUGCGAAUGAAACCCAUGUAGUUGAAAUUGAAAAUCCUGUGUGCAUCAAAAUGGUGGAACAAUUUGCCAAAUUUAGCUGGGCAAUGUCUUAGUGUAUAUUUGUUGAUUUGUUUUUCUUAUGUAGGACAAUGAUACAGAGCUCAACAAAACAUCUAUGCAUCUACCUGUUAGCUGUAGCCAUUUUGACUAGUCUUGUAUGGUAAAAAUUAUGGUAAGUUCAAACUUACCUUUUAGGUAGGCUUGCUCUCCUCAGUAUUAUUAGCAAUUGAACUACCUUUGAGCAAUAAUAAUACAUGGUUUUGUGCCUAGAGGCUUCCCAUUUAGGAGAGAACAGAUUGUACUGCACGCUUUCACUAUUUCAUAUAUGCAAUGGACAGUGAGGAGGAUAUACUAGUUUUGUGUUAGGUUAAGAGAUUUAAAUCUGGUUGUGCACCAAAAAGAGAGAAUAGUUUGAUUAACUAACUACUUGGAAUUAGGCUGUCAGUAAGUUUGGUAUUAUGGCUAUCCUGCACUUUAUUUUAGUGUUUAUGGUAUGCUGAAGAUAUGACAACACGACGAGAAGUUUGCUUGUAAAGUAGUACCCACUAGAGGAUAUUUCCUUGCCUAUGUCCUUUCACAUGCUUGUAACUGAUUUCUACUUUUGUGUCCUCCAUAUCCCUAGUUGAGCAUCUCUGCAUUAUGGCUUCAUAUGUUGCUCUUGUAGAUAUGGUAACUUUGUUUGGUGGCAAUGCCUAUUUUAGUCUUUGGCUACCAACUUACCUUGUUUUCCAAGUGAGAUGGUGACAUAGGUAUCUUUUUUCUCCAAAUAACAGAAACAAGAUACUGUCUUUGCCUCUUUGUUUACCUUGUUUUGUAAGCCAUACUGUGACUGUGACUGUGACAUAGGUAUCUUUUCUUCCUUCAUAGCCGAAACAAGAUAUAGUUUCAUAAGAUGGUAGAGAAAAUAAUAUGCCACCACAUGGAUUCUCUAUUGUGUUUUUUUGCUGCCCCUUAAAAAGUAUGCAGGAUUCAAGAAUCUAUGCUACCAGUUUAGAUGUAAUGCCUCCAGGGCGUUUCUGAACAUAUAGUUACAUCGUGCUGCGCACUUAUGUGCUGAUUUGUUAACGCAAGAGAAUAAUACAACUUUCCAUGAAGACAAGAUAAUAUAGCUAAUGCAGCAUCAUUCCUUUAGAAGUAGAAUUCUCUCUCUGAUGCAAAAGCAACACAUCACUGGCAACUAUAGUCUAUAACUCUUUAUGGGUGCCAUGUUUUUCAAAAGUAGAUAUAGCAUCUGGUGUAGCAUUUAGUAGUUCUACUGCAGUAGUAAAAAGCCCAAUGCUAAGUAGUUCACAACAGAUCUAGUAAUAGUUAGGCACACCAAAUCAGUACACAUCGUACUUUCACUUGUCCAGAGUCAAGACCCAAAGUUUACUUCACUGAAUGGAUCUACGUUCUUGUAGGAAUUAUUUAUUUUUUGAUGACAUUCUGUUCUUUAAUAUUGUGGUAAAUUAGCAUGUUAAAUAAAUUAUUAUUCUGACUUGAGGUUUGGUGAUUUCUGCAGGCCAUGUGUCCGUGAUACGACCUUCCUCAGAAGCUUAACCUGCACCCAUCCCCAGACUGCACCUACCAUUUUACUUGAAUCACCAGGCGCUGAUAAUUCUGCAGAGCUGUAACUGAAGUUCCACUAUUUCACUGCAUUGAACUUGCUUCUGCUGGUAUUUCACCUUUAGCUGUAAGUGGGUUGGUUCAAAGGGAGCUGAUUUGUGAGGCUGUGGUUGUUCUCCCCACUCCCCAGACUGGCAUCAAAAGAAUGAUGCUCCCGAGUCACUUUCUGUAGCUGUAUUCCCUGGUAGAAUUGGGGAGAGAUGUUUGUACAAAAGCUAACCUGAUUCUUCUGACCAAGACUUGCCACACAGGGUUGAUGUACUUAGUGGGUUACUCUCAAGAGCCAGCUUCUAUAUGCAGUAUGUUGGCCUAAUAGUGCAGUAUGGCUCCCCCACACCACUGCUGUGUUUAGGACAAAAAAAACUUUCCAGAUACCUGAUGAAGGAUUGAUUCUAGUUGGUGAGUUGAUGUAGUGCUUCAUAGUUGGAAACUGGGACUGUAACAACAGUGUACCAUAUGAUUCUUUCGCCCUUUUUCUUAGUCUAACCUGAGCAUCCUUGUUUGAACUUGCAAAGAUUUUAGAAGGAAGCAUGUUGAAAUGUGUCUAGAGCUUGUACAUUUGUCUGGCUGUUUGUGUGAACUGUGAAGAUCUUGAGAGGUAGCAUGCUGGUACGUGUGUAUGGAGCUUGUGCAUUUCCGUGGAUGUUUGUGUGAAGACCUUGAAUGGCAGCGUGCUGAUGUGUUUCUGGAUCUUGUGUACUUGUCUGACUGUCUGUGAGUAAACACGACUUGGUCAGUGAAAAUAGAGAGCACAAGAAAGAGGUACCUGACAUAAUAAAUAGUUUGUUUCGUGUUUAGGACGAGCUGUAGAUCUAAUGAAACAAUCCUCCUGGCCAGAAGUGAGGUGGUGGUGCUUGUAAGGGGUUUAUCAUUUUCUCUCUAUAAUACAACAGAUCUCCAACGUAUUUGAGAGAAAAAAAGAUGAGCUGUAGAUCUUGUGCUCUUUUGAAAUCUGCAUGGUAUUGGUUGUUGCCUACAGAAAUGGUGGACCUUGAUGAGUGUACCACUUCGUGGCGGGCACAGAUGUGUUAAGUCCUUGACGGUACCACAUAAGUCUCUGGAUUACUAAUAAGUUUUGAACCAGACUACUAUCGAUUACUAAUAUUGAUAAGUUUGUGGAUCGUGGUCUCGAGUUGCCAGCAUCGCCACCCGCAGGGCACCAGUGAUACAAGAGGGAGCCACUACAGGCUGGACCUCGAUUUGGGCCACGCAGGGCCUGUCUUAGUUCACCCAGUUUGGCCCAUGAAUUAAUUAGUGGAUUGCUCUUCUUGGCCCGUCAUGGUCUUCCUUCCUUUCUUUCACCUUCUUUAGUUCGUGAGAGACUGUAACAGGAUCGGUGACGGUAACAUUCCCCUUCCUUGAGAACCAGCUUGCUCCUAAACUGGUGCAUGUGAAAACUGUUGCCCUGCUGGCAUAGAGGAGUGUCGUCUUCACAGGUUGCAAAGAAGUAUUGACUUAAACUCUUAUGAUACAUGUUUAGUGCUAUUUUGACUUAAAUUCUUAGGGCACCCUCAACAAUUAUAGAGAGCAGCCAGAUACAAUUCGUACAUGGCAGCUCCACUUAAGCAAAAGAGAACCAAAACGAUAAAUCAUCUAGUGACCUUAUACUUUUGCAUAUUGCUCUAAAAGAUAUGGACGCCAAAUGACAGAAAUAUUCUAAUCAGCUUUAUCCUUCCAAGCUCCUCUUCUAAUCAGCUUUAGCCUUCUCAUUUUCGGAGUCCACAAUAUCGUCUCUCACCAGGCACGGUGACAGAUGUUUCUCGCUCCUCUGUUUCUCUUUCCUAGGUAGAACUUUUUUAGAUAAAGAAUAUUUUAUAUCCGACUUCAUCUAUCGACCGAUAGAAUCAGAUCAAUUAUUACAAAAUUUAGUCCACACUACUACAGAAUGAGGCAUUGGUCGAUGCCCAAAAUGGCCAAAAACCUCGGCCUUUUUGCGGCCCGGGGUUAAAGACCCCUUUAGCACCGGUUCGUAACACGAACCGGUGCUAAAGGGUCCUGCCCAACGGCUACUGACAGGUGCUGUCGGGGCGGAGACCCUUUAGCACCGGUUCGUGUUACCAACCGGUGCUAAAGGGUCCCCUUUAGCACCGGCCAGCGCCACGGGCCGAGGCAAAGCCUUUAGCACCGGUUUGUGUUACAAACCGGUGCUAAAGUGUUACCCUUUAGCACCGGUUUUAUUUGUGAACCGGUUCUAAGGGUCCGGUUUAUAGGCCGGAUCACUUCUACUCUCUGCCCAUUUGAAACCGAGUGCACCAUUCACCAUUGUUGUUCUUGGAGCUUCUUCUUCCUCAUUUGUUCUUCGUCUCCGACGCCCAUUGUUGAUCUUCUUCGACUCCGUCAUCGUUUCUUCGUGUUUGGAGGUGACUAACUUUUGUCUUUCUUGUCUUUUUCAUGUUGUUUUUGGCUUGUGAUGUUCUCAUUAUUUUUAGCUCAAAUCCACGUUGUUAUUUAGAAUCAUUUCACAUGAAUUAGUAUCCAUAUAUAUAUAUAUAUAUAUCAUAUUUCAUGGUUGACCUAGUAUUAAUAUAGUUUGCAAGAAUGAAUUAUAGUAUAUUUUUAUGAUAUUAGAAAGUAGGAUAGUUCAAAUUAAUUGGUUUGUUAAUAUCACUUGAUUUAUUUUUAUUACUACAUAUAAUGUCCAUUUUAUCAUACAUGUUUAAAUGUGGAAUUUAUAAUUGUUUAAAAAUUGAGUAUGGAUAGUAGAUGGCAACCGUGACCGGGUCUUCGGUCUCUCAACGGGUUCAAAAGCGAUACCGUCCGGAACUCCCUCUCAUUACUUGUGGCAAGUGUGGGCAGAAGAUUUUGAUGGAGUACAAAGUGUCGAAAGAGGGAGUAAACAAGAGUCGUAUAUUCUACAAGUGUCCAGAUCGUAAUGUGAGUUAUUUCCAGACAUUUGCUUAUAUAUGUGCAUAUUUUUUUAAAUGAUAUUAAUUAAACUUUUGAUUCUCUCUUUUAAUUUCAGUGGGACGGUACCGGCGGAUGUACAGGUUGGUACUGGGAGGAAGAAUACAUUGAACACAUUAAAAAAUCUUUUGCACAGGUGGUUGAGGAUGAAGGUGGUGAGGCAGUGAGCCGACGAAAGGAGUUCAAUGAUGUUGAUCAAGCGAAUGAUCUAUCUAUUAUAGUUGGGAUCGGACCCAAACUAAUUAUGUUGCUUAAGUGCAUUUUAGUUUUGGUUUUUUUAGUGCUAGUUGCGAUUGUAUUUGUUGUAGCCAAGCUUUCCUAAAUUAAUCAACUAUGUAUCUUAGACAUGUUGUGCAAUAAAAUGAGAAACUAUAUGUGUGUAUGGUUUUCAUAAUAUAUAUGUUAUAUUUAAUGCAGAUGGUAACACGUAAUUGGAUGUAUAAUGCCGAUCGGCGCUCCGAAGAGUUCAUUAAUGGUGUGCACUAUUUCUUAAGUGUGGCUGAGUCAAAUAAGAGGGACGGUUUCAUGUGCUGUCCAUGUGCCGUGUGCAAGAAUUUGACGGAAUAUUCUAACUCAAGAACUCUUCAUUCACACUUAUUAAAGUCUGGUUUCGUACCAAACUAUAUUUGUUGGACCAAACAUGGAGAAAGCGGGAUUAUAAUGGAUGAAGGUGAAGAAGAAGAAGAAGAAGAAGAAGAAGAAUUGGACCAUGCCAAUAUUAUUGCUCAGUACGGUGGCUUCAAUGAUGUUGCAAUAGGGGGAGAUAAUGAAGAAGAGGUGGCGGCAGAAGAUGAUCGGGGCGAUGAUGCUUUUGCUGAUGCCAUCCGUGAUGCACAAAGAGAAUGUGAAAGUGAUAAAGAGAAAGCCAAGUUCGAGCGCAUGCUAGAGGACCACAGGAAAUCGCUAUAUCCCACCGCUGAAGAGAGGCAAAAAAAGCUGGGUACCACACUAGAAUUGCUGCAAUGGAAGGCAAAGAAUGGUACAUCUGACAAGGCAUUUGGGCAGUUAUUGAAGAUCAUAAAAAAGAUGCUUCCGAAAGGCAACGAAUUGCCCACCACUACGUAUGAAGCAAAACAGGUUGUCUGCCCUUUGGGAUUAGAAAUCCAGAAGAUACACGCAUGUCCUAAUGACUGCAUCCUCUACCGUGGGGAGGAAUACGAGAAUUUGGAUGCAUGUCCAGUAUGUAAGGCAUCACGGUAUAAGAUUAGACGAGAUGAUCCUGGCGAUGUUGAGGGUGAAGAACGUCAUAGGAAGAAAAUUCCAGCCAAGGUUAUGUGGUAUGCUCCUAUAAUACCACGAUUAAAACGUCUGUUCAGAAAUAAGGACAAUGCAAAGUUGUUGCGGUGGCAUAAAGAAGACCGUAAGAUAAACAAUAUGCUGAGACACCCUGCCGAUGGAUCCCAGUGGAGAGCGAUAGACAGAGAAUUCCCAGAUUUUGCAGAUGAUGCUAGAAACUUGCGGUUCGCCUUAAGUACAGAUGGUAUGAAUCCUUUCGGUGAGCAGAGCAGUAGUCACAGCACUUGGCCAGUUACUCUAUGUAUCUACAACCUUCCUCCAUGGCUAUGCAUGAAGCGGAAGUUUAUUAUGAUGCCGGUGCUUAUCCAAGGACCGAAGCAACCUGGCAAUGACAUAGAUGUCUACCUAAGGCCAUUAGUUGAGGAACUUCAAAUUUUAUGGAGCAGACCAGGAGUUCGCGUGUGGGAUGAGUACAAACUAGAGCACUUUGACCUGCGAGCAUUGCUGUUUGUAACAAUCAAUGAUUGGCCAGCUCUGAGUAAUCUUUCAGGCCAGUCAAACAAGGGAUAUAAUGCAUGCACACAUUGUUAUGAAGACCUUGAUUGUGUAUUUUUGAAAAAAUGUCGAAAGGUCGUGUACCUUGGCCACCGUCGGUUUCUUCAUGUGAACCACCCAGUACGAAAGAAAGGCAAGCAUUUUAAAGGCAAGGCAGACCACCGGACCAAACCUCUCAAUCGAACCGGGGAUGAUGUACUCGAAAUGGUCAAGGAUAUAAAAGUGGUAUUUGGAAAGGGACGAGGCAGCGAACCUAUUCCCAAGGAUGCUAAGGGACACGUACCCAUGUGGAAGAAGAAAUCCAUAUUUUGGGAGCUACCUUACUGGAAUGUCCUAGAGGUCCGCAACGCGAUCGACGUGAUGCACGUGACAAAGAAUCUUUGUGUGAACUUGCUCGGUUUCAUGGGUGUCUACGGGAAGUCUAAGGAUUCACUUGAAGCACGACAAGACUUGCAGCGCAUGAAAGAACGAGACAACCUACAUCCAGAAAAGACAGAUGAUGGACGUCAUUACUUAAGCCCUGCUAGCUACACUCUGAGCAAAGAAGAGAAGGAAAGCAUGUUUGAAUGUCUUAGCAGCAUCAAGGUCCCAUCUGGAUUCUCCUCCAAUAUCAAGGGAAUAAUUAAUGUGCCAGAGAAGAAAUUUCUGAACUUGAAGUCCCAUGACUGUCACGUUCUAAUGACGCAAUUGCUGCCGGUCGUUUUAAGAGGAAUUCUACCUCCACACGUACGUCUAGCCACCGUAAAGCUAUGUGCAUUCCUCAAUGCAAUUUCUCAGAAGGCAAUCAAUCCAAAGCAACUAGCAACUCUGCAGAAUGAUGUCGUUCAAUGUCUCGUCAGCUUUGAGUUGGUGUUCCCUCCAUCAUUCUUCGAUAUCAUGACACACCUCCUAGUUCAUCUAGUCAAAGAGAUUCGUAUUCUCGGUCCUGUGUUCCUACACAACAUGUUCCCCUUCGAGAGAUUCAUGGGUGUCCUAAAGAAAUAUGUCCAUAGUCGUUCUCGGCCAGAAGGAAGCAUUGCCAAGGGCUACGGAACAGAGGAGGUCAUAGAGUUCUGUGUUGACUUUAUUCCAGACCUUGACCCAAUUGGCAUUCCUGAAUCUCGACACGAGGGCAGACUCAGCGGAAAGGGAACACUUGGGAAGAAAACAUAUAUUGGUACGGGAAACGAUUACUUCAAUAAAGCACACUAUACAGUUCUCCAGAACUCCUCAUUGGUGGAACCAUAUGUUGAGGUACACAAAGAUUUCCUACGGUCCCAGUGGCCCGGGAAGAAUGAAGCUUGGAUAAUGCGUCAGCACAUGGAAACUUUUGGCGAUUGGUUGCGCAAAAAAUGUCAAGGUGAUGAAAACAUUGAUGAGCAGCUUUAUUUGUUGGCCAGGCAACCAUCAUGGCAUGUCCUCACAUACAAAGGGUACGAGAUAAAUGGUAACACAUUUUACACAAUUGGCCAAGAUAAAAGGAGCACCAACCAAAAUAGUGGUGUACGCGUGGAUGCCAUGGAUCCAAAUGGGAACAGACAAACAUAUUAUGGACGCAUAGAAGACAUAUGGGAACUAGUCUAUGCAGCUAAUUUUAAAGUUCCUUUGUUCCGGUGCCAAUGGGUGAAGAUGACCGGAGGUGGGGUAACAGUCGACAAGGAGUAUGGGAUGACAACCGUGGACCUUAACAAUAGUGGGUUCAAAGACGAACCAUUCGUCCUUGCUGCAGACGUGAGUCAGGUGUUCUAUGUCAAAGAUAUGUCUACGAAACCAAAGAGAGGAAAAAAUGAUGACCACUCAAUCAUCAAUGAGCCAAAGCGCCACAUUGUCCUUUCUGGGAAAAGAAACAUUGUCGGAAUUGAGGACAAGUCAGACAUGUCAGGCGAUUACGAAAGGGAUGAUCGAAUUCCGCCCUUCAUAGUCAACAAAGACCCAAGCAUUCUGUUACGGCAGGAUCAUAACCAAGGGUCAUACGUCAAGAAGAAGUUCACUGUUGUGUCGGCUUGACUUUGUAUGAAACUAUAUUUGAGAAUUGUGAAUUUUGAUGUGUGUAACAAACUUCCCAAAACUUUGUCAAAUGCAAAAAUGGUCUAUAUGUGUCAAUUGUGGAUUUUCAACUACACCUUCCCAAAAUUGUCAUGACUAUAUGUGUCAAUUGUGGAUUUUCAACUACACCUUCCCAAAACUUUGUCAAAUGCAAAAAUGGUCUAUAUAUGAAAUGUAGAUUUUGAUGAGUGGAACAAUAUUGGUAUUCAUGACUUUUCCAUUCGAGACCAUCUAGGGUUCCGAAACUGCUGCGUGGCUAUGAGUUCUAUGAAAAUUCAAAAUUCAGUGGUUCAAACUUUUCCAAAUGAAAAGUUGACCAUUAGACAAAAUGUAGAACUUGAUGAGUGUAGCAAACUUUGUAUUCAUGACUUUUCCAUUUGGGACAAUCUAGGGUUCGGUCAAAGGGUGUGUUUGUAAAAACCAAUGCUUUGACUUUGGUCAAACUUGGUCAAAUAGCCCAUUUGAUGACUUAAAAUGAAAAAAGUUUGAAUACAAAGUUGUUAGAGCUCAUCAAGAUCUAUAUUUUAUAUAUUGUCCAUUUUUCCAUUUGGAUAAUUUUGAGCCAAUCCUAAUUACAUUUCUAUAAAAUCCAAGACGGGUUUUGGUCAAACUUGGUCAAAUGACAAACUAAAUUACUUCAAAUGAAAAUAUUUUGAAUACCAAGUUGUUAGAUAUCUUCAAGAUCUAAACUUUUUAUAUACACAACUUUUCCAUUUGAGAAAGUCUAAGUUAACAAUACCCACCAAUUCUUGAAUCUCACACAAACUAUAUGAAACUAUAUGUGUCAAUUGUGGAUUUUCAACUACACCUUCCCAAAACUUUGUCAAAUGCAAAAAUGGUCUAUAUAUGAAAUGUAGAUUUUGAUGAGUGGAACAAUAUUGGUAUUCAUGACUUUUCCAUUCGAGACCAUCUAGGGUUCCGAAACCGCUGCGUGGCUAUGAGUUCUAUGAAAAUUCAAAAUUCAGUGGUUCAAACUUUUUCAAAUGAAAAGUUGACCAUUAGACAAAAUGUAGAACUUGAUGAGUGUAGCAAACUUUGUAUUCAUGACUUUUCCAUUUGGGACAAUCUAGGGUUCGGUCAAAGGGUGUGUUUGUAAAAACCAAUGCUUUGACUUUGGUCAAACUUGGUCAAAUAGCCCAUUUGAUGACUUGAAAUGAAAAAAGUUUGAAUACAAAGUUGUUAGAGAUCAUCAAGAUCUAUAUUUUAUAUAUUGUCCAUUAUUCCAUUUGGAUAAUUUUGAGCCAAUCCUAAUUACAUUUCUAUAUUUUUAUAUGAUUUUUUAUUUGAUGAAAAUUAUAUUCAAAUAGCAUUCCUAAUAAUAAAUAACAAAAAUAAAAAGUUUUACGUCAAUAUGAUGUGAAAAUAAAUUUCCAGUUCAUUGGAUAUAGUUUUUAUAAAUUUAUUGGAAUAAUAUAUUUUUGCAUUAACAAAAUACUAAAUAUUUCUUACAAAAUCAUUGCAAAUUAGAAAAAUACAAUAAGAUAUUUAAGUUUAAAAUUUUUCAUGUGUACAUUAAAACAAAUUACAAUAUAUGUCACUGUUUAAAAAACAUUAUGCAAAAUAUUUAAUUUACUAUACAAUUUAUAAUAUAAAUUGUAUAUAUAAAACAAUUGAAAAACCCUAAACUAAAAAAAUGGGCCUUUAGCACCGGCCCAUAGUGGGAACCGGUGCUAAAGGGUCCUGAAAAUUUCAGGAGCCCGCCCUAGCACGCUCUGGACCCUUUAGCACCGGUCCGUGGCUGGAACCGGUGCUAAAGGGUCCCUUUAGCACCGGCUUGUAACACCGGCUGUUAAAGACCCUUUAGCACCGGUUCCAGCCACGGACCGGUGCUAAAGGGUCCGUCCCUAUAUAAGCCACAGGCGCCCUGGAUCCGACAGUUCUUUCGUCUUCGUCUUCGUUCCAGCGCCGCCGGGUUAAUCGUCUUCGCCGCCGUCGUUUCUCGUCUCCCUCCGCCGCCGCGACCACCGUCUCCACCAGCGCCGCCGCGGAGCGCCGCCGCGCCCCUCCUCCAAUGCCGCCGCCGCAGGCCACGGCCAGAUCGAGCGCGCGGGCCGGGCCACACAUCAUCCCACGUCGAUUUUCUUCCUGAUCUCUCCGGCCGUCGCUGCUAAGUAUAGAUCGAGAACGCCAUUGAUUAAUUAUGUAUUUAUAUACACUAGCUAGACCAGAAAUAUAUAUACAAAAAAUAUUACAUAUAUAUACAUAAAAAUAUAUACAAAAAAUAAUACUACAAAUCAAAACACCAUAUAUAUACAUAUAUAUAUAUAUAUGUAUGUAUAUAUAUAUGUAUAUAUAUGUAUAUAUAUGGUGUUUUGAUUUGUAGUAUUAUUUUUUGUAUAUAUUUUUAUGUAUAUAUAUAUAUGUAUAUAUAUGGUGUUUUGAUUUGUAGUAUUAUUUUUUGUAUAUAUUUUUAUGUAUAUAUAUAUAUAUAUAUAUGUAUAUAUGGUGUUUUGAUUUGUUGUAUUAUUUUUUGUAUAUAUUUUUAUGUAUAUACACACACAUAUAUAUAGUUUGUAUGUAUGAAUUAUAAUUGUUUGUAUGUAUGUAUGUAUGUAUUAUUUUUUAAUAUAUUAUUUGUAGUAUAUAUAUAUAGUAUGUAUGUAUGUUUUAUUUUUUGUAUAUAUGUAUUAUUUUUUGUAUGUAUGUAUAUUAUUUUUUGUACAUAUAUACACACACAUAUAUAUAGUUUGUAUGUAUGAAUUAUAAUUGUUUGUAUGUAUGUAUGUAUUAUUUUUUUAAUAUAUUAUUUGUAGUAGUUUUUUUAGUAUAUAUUUGUUGUAUAUUAUUCUUGUAUCAUAUUUUAUUUUCUAGUGUUUUGUAAAUAUUAUUGUUUGUACUAUAUUAUUCUAGUAUUGUUUUUUAUUCUAGUGUAUUACUUGGCUUAAAAGAUUCUAGUAUUAUUUUUAGAGCACUCCAACACUUUCAUUUGUAGUAGGACUAGUAGUAGUAUAUAAGUCUCUAAUAUAUGUUCUAGUAGUGUUUAGCCACCAAAUUUAUUCUAGUAGGGUUUUGUAUAUAUUUUUGUUUGUACUAUAUAUUAUUCUAGUAUUGUUUUUUAUUCUAAUGUAUUACUUGGCUUAAAAGAUCCUAGUAUUAUUUUUAGAGCACUCCAACACUUUCAUUUGUAGUAGUAUUGUCUUACAUAGAAUAUAUAUAUAUAUAUGUAUGGUUGCAGACAUAGAAAUGGCUGACCGUCGUCAUGAUGAUCCUGAUUAUAUGGAAGAUGCCAUUUUAAAUAUGAUCGACGACGGUAGUCAGUACUUUGUUGAUUACCACGACAUCAUGCAAGGCAAUCCUACUGAGCAACAAGAGGGCAAUGCCCCUGAGCAACAACUUGUCGUGCAACAAGAAGAAAAUACUGGCGAGGUAUGUAAAUGUAAACAUAUAUAAUUAAUGCAUCUCUUACAUUAGGUUCUAGACUUAUUACUUGGUUAUUAAUUUAGUAUUUUUGUUUCUAUAUGUACGUGUAGCCUUCUGGAUCGACCUCUACGGGGAGAAGCGUACCUCCACGAGGGCCAAAGAAGCCGUUGGAGGGCCGCUAUGUAAUCUCUGAGUUUGAGAUAGCUACAGGUAGACCACUUGGUGAGCAUGCAAACAAAUAUGUUAGUCACUGUGGAUAUCUUGUGAGAGAUCAAAUACCGAUCAGUUGUCGUGAAUGGAGAGAGAAGCGAGGUGCUCCUGAGAUCAGUUUUGUCUCUGAUCGUGACAAGGAGUUAGUUUGGAAAGCCGUCACAGACGUUUUCACCUUCGACACCAACGAUGAAGAGUUGAAGGUGCGAAUUUAUGACUGGACUAUGAAGAAGAUGGCAGUACUCUUCCAGAAUUGGAAGAAGUCUUUGUACAAUAAAUAUGUCAAGAAAAACGAGACUCCAGAUUUCAACCACAAGCAAUAUGUAAAGCUGAGGGCCUUCUGGGAUGACUUUGUGCAGUACAAAACAUCAGAAGAGGGCGAGGAACGAGCCAAUAGAAACAAAGAGAAUGCCAGUAAAAAGACAUACCACCAUCAUAUGGGAUCAGGUGGUUAUAAGAGUGCUGUUCCCAAGUGGGACCGAAUGGAACAGGAGGUGCUUGCUAGGGGGGUCACACCCGAGACAAUAGCAAAGAAUUGGAGCGAGCGCUCCAAGCAUUGGUUCUACGGUCAUGGGGGAAGCGUGGACCCAGACACCGGGGCGCUAGUUUGGGGCCAAGAAAUCUCUAGAGCAGCAGAGAGACUAGUCCGUACAUGAGAGGCGGUUCAGUCUGGUGAGUUCAGGCCUAACAGGGAGAAGGAUGAACUCACCUAUGCGCUUGAAAAUCCUGAGCACGGUGGGCGUACGAGAGGCUAUGGGGCAGUUUCGUGGCUGCAAUCAUUCCAAGCCGAUCAAGAUACCUACAGAAGCCGCCAGAGAAAGAAGGAUGAGGAGGCAGAGCGGAUCCGCCGCCUGGAAGCUUUUGUUCUGCAGUCACAAGAGCGCGAGAAAGCUCGUGAAGAAUGGAUGCAGGCAGAGAUUCAAAGGCAAGUGCAAGCAGCACUUAGUCAAAUGACGAAAGGGCAAGGUACAUCACAGUCUGAGGUCAAUGUUAGCCCCCCAGGCCAGUUGAAAAGCAGCUGCGCAUCCACGGAAGUACCAACCAUUCAGGAUGACACGAAGCUACACUUCCCCGUGGAUGAUGUCACAGAGGCUUUUACUACCUGUGAGCUGCAUGUACCAGAUGGGAAUGCCACCAAAAAGAUGGCUAUCGCUGUUGUCAACCCUAUCGACCGAACGAGAACUCCAAGAAUCCAUAAUCGACCAGUACCUGGUGGAUAUGCUAGCGUCUCGGUUGAUAGGGUUGAGAAAGGUUGUGACAAUGUGCCACUAGACAUAGAAGGGGGAGACGGAGAGAAGACCUUAGGUGAAGCUGAGAAGACAUUUAUUUGUUGGCGCAAGCGCUUCAUAAUUAUUCCUCAGCAUAGGUUUGUGUGUGAUUUUACUUCUUAUAUUAUUUAUUAUGUAUUGAAAUUAAAAAAAGUUUGCUCACAAAACUUGUAAUUGUUUUCUUUGCAGGGACUCCUCCAACCUAAGUCCAGUUCUCUCCCCAGCGCAUCAUAGUGCUGCGGGCGGUGACACUGCUGGAUCUCCACCAACACCAGCGGUGGCCACACCGACCCCGCCACCGCCUCCACCACGGUCUCCACCUCCUCCACCGAGGUCUCCAACUCCUCCACCGAGGUCUCCAACUCCUCCACCGCGUUCUCCAACGCCAAAAAGAUCGGCCCCACCACCUCCACCGCCUGCACCGCCCUCUCCAAAGAGUGCACGGUCGGUCCCAUCGCCUCCAAAGCGAGGUAGUAAGAAGCGGUCCGCCCAAGAAGGACCGAAGUCAUCGGUCCCACCUCCAAAGAAGGCUGCCUCAGCAAAGAGAGCUAAGACGCCAGAAAAAUUACCUUACGAAAAGAGUGAAGAGGAGGUAAUUGCUACAUCCAAAGCUGAGGUCAAGCAAUUUUUUGAUAAAAUAAAGGAGGAUAGGAAAAAACGGCUUAACCCAGAGAAGCCGUACUUUUAUGCGAAGCCAUCUGAACUGAGGCAGAAGGUGGCGGACCAUAAAAAGAAGCAACGCGAAGCUCAGAAAAAGCCAGCACUUUCGGACUAUGAGCAGUCUCUGGUCAAGUCUUCGCAGCCUACUAAGAAGAGAGUAGGAAAGGGGGUCCCACAGCUCGGAGAAGUAUCAAAACCGGUGCCCCCUUUGAUUGUGCUAAAUCAAUACGGCUCAAAUGAAGACUUGAUGCCAAAGAAAUCCUUAGCGUUGUCUGAGCUAGACUCGCUUGAGCGUUACUUUGGACAGAGCGGUUUAAAUAUGGAAGAAAUUGCCGCCAUUCUUGGAUGCCAAACAUUUGAAAAAGCCGAGGUAGUUGAUCAAUGGAGGGCAAGAUAUGAACCGGGCAGGAGUCUAUUCGACCCUAAGCGUUUACACGAGCUCGGCACACAAAUGUUUGCAAUAAACAAAUGGUGCAUUGAGGCGUCUAAAAGGGGAGAUAAUUGGAUUUAUGUUCGUAUUAGACAACAUCACUACUUCCGUGGAGAUGACCUCAUAUACGUGCAGUUCGAAGAAUUGCACCAAUUAUGCCACCUCGACGCUCUUGACAAAUCUCUUGUCAGCUGCUUUUGUCUGUAAGUAUUUUUUUCUUUUUAUUAUACUUCUAACUUCUUUAAUUACAUGUAUAUAAUCCUUACACACUUAGGAUUUGUAUGUAUAUAUGCAGGCACCAAAUGAGAGAGCUCAGAAUGAAAAAUAACAAUAGUAUUGGGUUCGUUGACCCUGAUAUUGUUUUCAAGGCUCCGCAGGCAGUGUGGACAGCAGAUCAUGAGAUAGAAGUCUGCACCAAUCUUAUGAGGUUCUUUGUGAACCAAAAAGAAAAACAAAAAAUACUCUUCCCCUUCAACUUCGAGUGAGUUAUAUAGUUAUUAAGUGUAUGCAUAUUUUAUUUUACAUUAUAGGACUGACUAUAUAUAUGUGUGUAAACAGCUUUCACUGGAUACUCAUGGUCAUUGAAAUUCCCAAGAACCGGUUGAUAAUCUUUGACUCAAUGAGAAAACCACAAGAAAAUUAUCAACAAAUGGUAAACAUUAUUCAAAGGUACGUAAUGUCGAUCUCAGCUACAAAAAUAUCAUAAUAUGACUCUGUAAUUAUUAGUUCACGAUCCACAAUGGCUGUGUAUAGGGUUUGGGAAAGAUUCAUUGACCGUGAACAUCUCAGUGGAUGUAAAGCGCCGCUUAACAUAAUACAUCCACAAGUAAGUUCUACUAGCUAACAAACUUUCGCUAACUUUUAGCCUUCUUAUUGUCGUGGUCGUGAAUAUUUUUAUAUAUAUAUCGUACAGUGAUGUUUAAGACAAGAAGGGGGAACAAUCUAUGUGCAUAUUACGUGUGCAAAUUCAUGAUGGCACAAGUCAAUCAAACGAGACGCUCAGAGUACGUUACAUGUCUCUUUUCAUUAUCUCAUGAAUUAUAUUGAAUAACUUAGAUAACUAAUACCUUUUUUAUUUAUUUCAAAUUAAAGACGGAAUGGCCGAGGGAAAAGGUCCUACAACAAGACCGAAUCAAAGCUAUCCAAGAGACGAUAGCAGGAUUUCUCCGCGAACAAGUGAUCAAUCCAAACGGCGAGUUUCACUUUAACGGCAACGAAACUCUUAUUCCAAACAACGAUGAUCAUUUGUAUCGUUUGUAGACAUUGGGAGAAAAAACUCUAUGUAUAUAUGUGUUACGAAUUUUGUACAUAUAAAACUAUAUAUAUAUAUAAAGCUUUUUACAUAUCUAUUUAAUUUUUGAUGUGGUCUAUUCAUUUUAUUAUAGGCAAAGCUUAAUUAUUAAGCUAAGCCUAUAAUUUUCAUUUAUAUAUGCUUAAUAUGCUUAAUAUAAAUAUAUUAUUGUAUCAGAAAAACAUGUAUUGAAAAACCUAUUAUUAUAUAUUAUAUAUAAACAAUAAACAGAACCGAAGAAGUGAACCAAAAAAAAGAAAAAGAAACCCUUUAACACCGGUUGGUAAUACCAACCGGUGUUAAAGGGUCCUGCAACGUGGCAGCCCUGGCAGGACCCUACCAACCGGUGUUAAAGGGGGGGCCUUUAGCCCCGGUUGUCCGAACCGGGACUAAAGGGUGGGCCUUUAGUCCCGGAAGGGCAGCACCGGCUCGGGAACCGGGGCAACAGGUCCUUUCCGACCGGUGCUAAUGCCCGAACGUGUGGCAGUGCCAGGUAAGGAAGAAUGUCCUAUGAUACAUAUUCAAAAAUAUCCUUCUAUUUUAAUUUAGUAAAACUACUGGUAAGGAAGAAUGUCAUGACUUGUCAUUUCUUCAGCUUUGACCUGUAUCAUCAAAUCGUUUGUGGAUUGGUUGCAUAUAUCUGUUUUUCUUAAAAAAACAACAACAAAUACAUAAUAUUCCAAGAAAACUAUCAUGAUGUCUCAUUACUAAAUUCAGAAAUCAUGCAUAAUAGGGACGUCGCCUGUCAAGGCUGUCAUGAUACAAACACUAUGAAUUUCAGUUUCGUUGUAGUACUAGACUAACUCACGACGGUGUCACCAUGCUGCUUGUUUUUCUUGAACGGGGGGCACGGGGAUCACGCGGUGCGCAUCCGGCGGCGAAGAGCCGAGACAGGAGCAAGGGACAUCGGACAUGCAUGGCGCUGGAGUCUUCGGAUUCGCUCCGGGCCGGAUUUUUUCCGAGCGCGCGCGGACAGGGAAAGAAGCAUAUGGGAGAGGAGAGAAGAGGACAGGAGGAAGAAGAGAAGAGGGACAGCUCGUGCUGCACACCAUUAGCUAGGCCAGGGACCACGGGCCAGGCCGUGCGGAUGGGAAGGGAAGCCACACGGGAGGAGGAGGUGUGGCUUCCGGCUGACUUCUGUUUUCAUCUCCUUUUUUUUAUUUAUAUAUUUGUUCUAUUUCUAUUUCUAUUUCUAUUUCUAUAUAUUACUUAUUUAUUUAUUUAUCCGUGAAAUAUAUACACAUACAUAUGCUUUGUUUUUUUGAAACCGGGUGCAAGAGACCUAGACGUUAAAUCGUGAGAUUUAACCAUUAUAUAAAAUAUAAAGCUUAUCUAAAGUGUAGAAUUUUAUAACAAUCUAGUUAAAUUUGAAAACACACGUAGCAUGUAGGACUCGCUAGGGAAAUAUGGCCAGCGAGAAUGAUGUAAUAGCCGGUUAGAAAAAAUAAAAAACAAUAUUGAAAUGUUUUUUUUAACACAAUAGCUAUAAAUGGCUUCACGAAUACAUUUACCUAGUCUAUUGGAGUUGUUCCAACUCAUAUACGGUACUCACUCCACGUUACUAAAAGAAGUUGUUUUAGACGGCGAUCCUCUAAAGCAUAACUUUGAUCGAGCAACUUCAACAGCUUAACUAUUUUUGUUGUGGCUAUUUUAGAAUUUGUAUGACAAAAACUAGGCUCUAACGGAUGUACUAUUUGACUUUGUAAAAUAAGAAGCUGGCUAUAUAGAUAACCACAAACAAUUGCUAUUAGAUUUUUUUAAAUAGCAAGGCUCUUAGGGAUCUUUUCUUUUUUUUAAAAGAGUUUUCUAUUUUAUAAAAUGACUAAAUAAUAUAGCUAAUAAUUUUAACUAAGGCUGAAUGAAAAACUCAAAGGUUGUUAGCUCACUCAGUUCGUUAUCAUAACGAUCCGAGCCGAACCAAAAUUUUAGCUUAUUAGCUAUAACGAGACAGCUCGAGCCAGCUCGGGAGCCGCUCGCAAGCCAAAUAAGCUACAGUUUUAGAGAAAAAGUCAUCAUAAAUUAUAUUAGUUUUAUAUUACUUCAUAUCUUACACUUUACGAAUGAUUGAUAUGUUAGCUUAAAUGAAUAUUUUAUUUGACUUAAGACUAUUAGAUAUAUUAUUUUUAUAUUAUUAUUAUUUUUAAGAUUUAGAUAAGUGUAAAUAUUAUAUUUUAUAUAUUUAUAUUUUAUAUAUGCUUUAUACCUGGCUCGUGAGCUUAACGAACCAGCUUGAGCUCAUAACAAGCCGAGCCGGCUCAUUACGGUAAUGAGCCGAGUCAAGCUAAUGAGCCAAAACAAGCCGAGCCGACCUGGCUUGUUAUCCAGCCUUAAUUUUAACCAAGCUCUUAAAGUUGCUCUUAUUUUUAUAAAAGUAUUUAUUAAAAAGUGAUAUAUGUAUAUUUUUAUAAAAAAAAAUUUCAAAUAAAUCUAUUCACAUGAAUUUCACAUUUCUAAACUCAACAAUUUUAAAGUUAUUUAUGAUUUAUAUUUCUAAUCUUUCACCUAAAUCUUAUCAAAACGACUUCUUUUAGCAACAUGAAGGGAGUAUAUGUAAUGCAAUGCAUGAACUAGGGUGACACAAUUAAAUAAGAUUUAAGUGUGAUUUUGCACCCAUUCAAUUCAAUGCAACCUAUAUGCCACAUCACCAACUAGGUUUUACGAAUCUUGUUAAAAAGCUGAGAAUUUUAACUUGGGGGCAUGAGUUUUAGGUAGAUUAAUUGUUCAAGAGGUGAUCGAGGAGAAUAGAAAAUUCAACAUUUUAUAUAGAGAUAUGGACCGUAACUCUACAAACACAUACUCCCUCCGUCCCAAAAAAGUGUCGUUUUAAGUUUUCGUGCCACAAGUUUGACUCGAUUUAUAGAAAAUAUGUGCAAUAUUUAUAUCUCUAAAUAGAUUUAUUAAAAAACUAGACUUAAAGAUCUUUCCAAUGAUAUUAAUUAUGUAUUAUAAAUAUUAAUAUUUUUUACUAUAUAUUUAGUUAAAGUUAUUUCUCGGGAAGGGAAAACGACACUUAUUUUGAGACGGAGGGAGUAAUGUUCUAAUUUAAAAUGAUUUACAAUUCCAAAAGCUUGGUUAUUCUUAUUGUAAAGACUAUUUUAGAAUUGUAUAAUAAAAAGUAGAUUCCAACAGAUGUGCUAUCUGGUUUUGUAAAAUAGAAAGUUAGCUAUCUCUUGAUUUUCGGUGGCCAUAUAUAGCCAACCACUAAUAGUGGCUAUCUGAUUUUGUAAAAUAGCAAGACUGUUGUGGACUUUUUCUUUUUUAAUUUUUUUUUUCUAUUUUACAAAAUGGCUAAAUAAUGAAAUUUGGCUACUAAUUUUAGCCAAACUCUUGGAGUUGUACCCUCAACCUAUACGCCAUAUCACCAAAUAUAUUUAGGAAAUUUGUUAAAAAAGCUGAGAAUUUUGGGCCCAUAAAUGUUAAAGUGAUGGCCGAAGAGAAUGGAAAAUUCAACAUUUUAUAUGUGGGUCUAUAAUUGUAAAAAAAAAAACUUUGCCUAUAUCGAUCCAAAAUUUCCCCAAACCUUCUCUCUCCUACUAAACUCAAAUCUCCAGUCAUAACAAGACUACUGGACUUAGAUACACUGCUAGAAAAGUCUAACGAUCAAGCAGAAGUAAGAACAAGUCAGGAAAACAUCUUGAAGCCCACAAAGUUGAAUUUUAGAUCAAGAGUCACGGAAGUCCUACGCUCACUCGCAGAAGUUCCGCACUCACAGGUGGAAGUUCUGCACUAGCAGAUUUCUGUGGGCUGAACCAGGAAAGAGAAUGAAGCCAAAUGACAUUUUGGACUUGAAUUUUGCACACUUCUCUCUAGGACAUGGUAAAAGUAUCCUCAAGAGAUCUUGACAAAAAGCUCAAAAAAUUUGGUCGGAGAUCUUUAAAUUCAACUCUCAAAUUGGGGUUUGUUAUUAUCAAAUUUCUUGAAAUGAACAAUCAAAAUGUGCUCGUGGGAAAUCUGUUGGAGGCAAAGCUUAAGCUUGUUUCCAAUACCUCAUGGCACCUAAGAACUAACAAAGAACACCUCAAAAACCUCAGCUCAAAGAUCUUCAAGAAUGUCAUCAAAAGAGGUAGAAAUAGGAGUUUUUAGAGACUUGAACUCUGGAGAUAAGCGCUAGGCUUUAAGCCAUGAUUUGGAUAAGUUCCAGGGUCCCAGAGCACCCCAAAAUUGAGCCUAAAACUCAGCCAAAUUAGCAGAUCGAAAAACAAAAGGUUAGGCACCAAUAAUCACAGAAAAAGGAAAAUUUUAGAUUCGAGGGAGGAGAACAAGUGGAGCUCGAAAUUGGGAAAAUUUUAGAUUCGAGAGAGGAGAACAAGUGGAGCUCGAAAUUGGUUUUUGGAUUACUUCAUGAUGUAGAUUAUAAGCCACUCCUAGUAUAUCUCAAAACUAUGGAUGGCAAAACUCAAAUCAAAAGAGCCUCUCCUGUGUCCAUCUUUCUAAACCUAACCAAAAACUUUCAACUAAACAAAUGAGAAUCUAAUUUUCAAGGGGCUUGGCUAACAAUCAGGCACUUGGCUAUUUCAUAAGGAGCACCGUACAAAAAGUACUCAUCACAAUACCCAUAUUGGUGAAAUCGUUUAAGUUUUUCAUUAUUGAUCCAAUAGACCUAAUGCCUUCUCGACUCUGCUUUAUCUCGACGAAAGAGUAAAGAUUUCACCCAAACCACCAAAUGAUGGUUUUUUGAGGACCGAAUCGACAAACCCCUUAUGCAUGCUUCACCAGGCGUCUGAUGUACAAAACCUUGUUAGCAACUGAAGCUUUGCCUUAUAACAAUUUAAUCUGAAAACUUAAACUACUACCUCUUAAAAUUAAGAUAUUCUUGUGGUAUUUGUAUAAGGAAGUAAUCUUAACAAAAGAUAAUCUAGCAAGACGACAUUGGCGAGGAGAUAUGAAGUGUUAUUUUUGUUCCUCUGAGAGUCGUCAAUACAACAUCUUCUCUUUGAUUGUCAAUUUGCUAAGUUUGUGUGGCGAACCAUUCAGGUUUCAUUUAAUUUAUCAACUCUAAUUAGCACACUUAACUUGUUCACAAACUGGCCUCAAGGGUUUAAUAGAAAGCUGAAAUCACAGAUUCUUGUGGAUGCAAGUGCAAUUUGUUAGGUACUAUGGUUAACCCGAAAUGAUUUAGUCUUUGAUAAGAUCCCAACACCAUCCUAAUUGCAAGUCAUUUUUAGAGGGAUGUACUGGAUCAGAUUCUGGUCCUUACUACAGAAGGAGUGGCCAAAUGAUGAAGAUGGGCUGGAAGAUUUAGACCACUGCGAUGGAGGUGUUUGCUAGAAAUUGUUGGAGGUUCAGCAAUAGAAUUAGAGUACAAAUGUUGUUACUUCCGCUUUGCCUCAAAACUUUGUUUUUGAGAUUGAGUGGAACAUUGAUCCAGUGUUUGUAAUAAGGAACAACUAUAUGCAUCAGUCGAUGAAGAAGCUAGGAUAUUAAUAUAUUCCCUUUUCUAAAAAAAGUAUGACUAGCCGAUGCCAACGCGUGUUCAACCUUCGCCAAGCUCUGAUGCCUUCGCCUUCCAUCUUCUUCACCAGACACCAUCCCUGAUGUAGAUGCAUGUUUAGCCACCACCAAAGUGCCGCAACACUAUUGUUCUUCUCCUUGACUAAGUCGACACCGUCUUCAUCACCCAUGUACUCUUGCGCUUAUGAUCAAUUAUACGGCCUCUGGUCUCACGGUCCAAGCCUUCUCGUCUACCCUUCACCGUUCUUGGUUUAUCGUGCAGGGGCUACACACUUAACCUUUUUCAUCACGGUCGACUGUCUUGGGGGGAACCAAACACUUGCACACACUGCCACACGUUCGGGCAUUAGCACCGGUCGGGAAGGGCCUGUUGCCCCCGGUUUCCGAGCCGGUGCUGCCCUUCCGGGACUAAAGGCCCACCCUUUAGUCCCGGUUCGGGUAACCGGGGCUAAAGCCCCCCCCUUUAACACCGGUUGGGUCCUGCCAGGGCUGCCACGUUGCAGGACCCUUUAACACCGGUUGGUAUUACCAACCGGUGUUAAAGGGUUUCUUUUUCUUUUUUUUAGUUCACUUCUUCGAUUCUAUUUAUUGUUUAUAUAUAAUAUAUAAUAAUAGGUUUUUCAAUACAUGUUUUUCUGAUACAAUAAUAUAUUUAUAUUACACGCAUAUUAAGCAUAUAUAAAUGAAAAUUAUAGGCUGAGCUUAAUAAUUAAGCUUUGCCUAUAAUAAAAUGAAUAGGCCACAUCAAAAAUUAAAUAGAUAUGUAAAAAGCUUUAUAUAUAUAUAGUUUUAUAUAUACAAAAUUCGUGACACAUAUAUACAUAGAGUUUUUUCUCCCAAUGUCUACAAACAAUACAAAUGAUCAUCGUUGUUUAGAAUAAGAGUUUCAUUGCCGUUGAAGUGAAACUCGCCGUUUGGAUUGAUCACUUGGUCGCGGAGAAAUCCUGCUAUCGUCUCUUGGAUAGCUUUGAUUCGGUCUUGUUGUAGGACCUUUUCCCUCAACCAUUCCGUCUUUAAUUUGAAAUAAAUAAAAAAGGUAUUAGUUAUCUAAGUUAUUCAAUAUAAUUCAGGAGAUAAUGAAAAGAGACAUGUAACGUGCUCUGAGCGUCUCUGUGGGUGUUUGAUUGACUUGUGUCAUCAUGAAUUUGCACACGUAGUAUGCACAUAGAUUGUUCCCCCCUUCUUGUCUUAAACACCACUGUACGAUAUAUAUAUAAAAAUUAUUCACGACCACAACAAUAAGAAGGCUAAAAGUUAGCGAAAGUUUGCUAGCUAGUAGAACUUACUUGUGGAUGUAUUAUGUUAAGCGGCGCUUUACAUCCACUGAGAUGUUCACGGUCAAUGAAUCUUUCCCAAACCCUACAUACAGCCAUUGUAGAUCGUGAACUAAUAAUUACAGAGUCAUAUUAUGAUAUUCUUCUAGCUGAGAUCGAUAUUACAUACCUUUGAAUAAUGUUUACCAUUUGUUGAUAAUUUUCUUGUGGUUUUCUCAUGAAGUCAAAGAUUAUCAACCGGUUCUUGGGAAUUUCAAUGACCAUGAGUAUCCAGUGAAAGCUGUUUACACACAAAUAUAUAUAUAGUCAGUCCUAUAAUGUAAAAUAAAAUAUGCAUGCACUUAAUAACUAUAUAACUCACUCAAAGUUGAAGGGGAAGAGUAUUUUUUGUUUUUCUUUUUGGUUCACAAAGAACCUCAUAAGAUUGGUGCAGAUUUCUGUCUCAUGAGCUGCUGUCCACACUGCCUGCGGAGCCUUGAAAACAAUAUAAGGGUCAACGAACCCAAUACUAUUGUCAUUUCUCAUUCUGAGCUCUCUCAUUUGGUGCCUGCAUAUAUACAUACAAAUCCUAAGUGUGUAAGGAUUAUAUACAUGUAAUUAAAGAAGUUAGAAGUAUAAUAAAAAGAAAAAAAUACUUACAGACAAAAGCAGUUGACAAGAGAUUUGUCGAGAGCGUCGAGGUGACAUAAUUGGUGCAAUUCUUCGAACUGCACGUAUAUGAGGUCAUCUCCACGGAAGUAGUGAUGUUGUCUAAUACGAACAGAAAUCCAAUUCUCUCCCCUUUUAGAUGCCUCAAUGCACCAUUUGUUUAAUUGCAAACAUUUGUGUGCCGAGCUUGUGUAAACGCUUAGGGUCGAAUAGACUCCUGCCCGGUUCAUAUCUUGCCCUCCAUUGAUCAACUACCUCGGCUUUUUCAAAUGUUUGGCAUCCAAGAAUGGCGGCAAUUUCUUCCAUAUUUAAACCGCUCUGUCCAAAGUAACGCUCAAGCGAGUCUAGCUCAGACAACGCUAAGGAUUUCUUUGGCAUCAAGUCUUCAUUUGAGCCAUAUUGAUUUGGCACAAUCAAAGGGGCACCGGUUUUGAUACUUCUCCGAGCUGUGGGACCCACUUUCCUACUCUCUUCUUAGGCUGUGAAGACUUGACGAGAGACCGCUCAUAGUCUGAAAGUGCUGGCUUUUUCUGAGCUUCGCGUUGCUUCUUUUGAUGGUCCGCCACCUUCUGCCUCAGUUCCGAUGGCUUUACAUAAAAGUACGGCUUUUCUGGGUUUUGCCGCUUUUUACUAUCCUCCUUCAAUUUAUCAAAAAAUUAUUUGACCUCAGCUUUGGAUGCAGCAAUUAACUCCUCUUCACUCUUUUCAUAAGAUAAUUUUUCUAGCGUCUUACCUCUCUUUGCUGAGGCAGCCUUCUUUGGAGGUGGGACCGAUAACUUCGGUCCUUCUUGGGCGGACCGCUUCUGACUACCUCGCUUUGGAGGCGAGGGGACCGACCGUGCACUCUUUAGAGAGGGCGGUGCAGGCGGUGGAGGUGGUGGGGCUGAUCUUUUCGGCGUUGGAGAACGCGGUGGAGGAGUUGGAGACCUCGGUGCAGGAGGUGGAGAUCGUGGUGGAGGCGGUGGCGAGGUCGGUGUGGCCGCCGCAGGUGUUGGAGGAGAUCCAGCAUUGUCACCGCCCGCAGCACUAUGAUGCGCUGGGGAGAGAACUGGACUUAGGUUGGAGGAGUCCCUGCAAAGAAAACAAUUACAAGUUUUGUGAGCAAACUUUUUUUUAAUUUCAAUACAUAAUAAAUAAUAUAAGAUGUAAAAUCACACACAAACCUAUGCUGAGGAAUAAUUAUGAAGCGCUUGCGCCAACAAAUAAAUGUCUUCUCAGCUUCACCUAAGGUCUUCUCUCCGUCUCCCCCUUCUAUGUCUAGAGGCACAUUGCCACAACCUUUCUCAACCCUAUCAACCGAGACGCUAGCAUAUCCACCAGGUACUGGUCAAUUAUGGAUUCUUGGAGUUCUCGUUCGGUCGAUAGGGUUGACAACAGCGAUAGCCACCUUUUUUGUUGCAUUUCCAUCUGGUACAUGCAGCUCACAGGUAGUAAAAGCCUCUGUGACAUCAUCCACGGGGAAGUGUAGCUUCGUGUCAUCCUGAAUGGUUGGUACUUCUGUGAUGCGCAGCUGCUUUUCAACUGGCCUAGGGGGCUGUGAUGUACCUUGCCCUUUCGUCAUUUGACUAAGUGCUGCUUGCACUUGCCUUUGAAUCUCCGCCUGCAUCCAUUCUUCACGAGCUUUCUCGCGCUCUUCUGACUGCAGAACAAAAGCUUCAAGGCGGCGGAUCCGCUCUGCCUCCUCAUCCUUCUUUCUCUGGCAGCUUCUGUAUGUAUCUUGAUCGGCUUGGAAUGAUUGCAGCCACGGAACUGCCCCAUAGCCUCUCGUACGCCCACCGUGCUCAGGAUUUUCAAGCGCAUAGGUGAGUUCAUCCUUCUCCCUGUUAGGCUUGAACUCACCAGACUGAACCGCCUCUCGUGCACGGACUAGUCUCUCUGCUGCUCUAGAUAUUUCUUGGCCCCAAACUAGCGCCCCGGUGUCUAGGUCCACGCUUCCCCCAUGACCGUAGAACCAAUGCUUGGAGCGCUCGCUCCAAUUCUUUGUUAUUGUCUCGGGUGUGACCCCCCUAGCAAGCAUCUUCUGUUCCAUUCGUUCCCACUUAGGAACAGCACUCUUAUAACCACCUGAUCCCAUAUGAUGGUGGUAUGUCUUUUUACUUGCAUUCUCUUUGUUUCUAUUGGCUCGUUCCUCGCCCUCUUCUGAUGUUUUCUAUUGCACAAAGUCAUCCCAGAAGGUCCUCAGCUUUACAUAUUGCUUGAGAUUGAAAUUUGGAGUCUUGUUUUUCUUGGCAUAUUUAUUGUACAAAGUCUUCUUCCAAUUCUGGAAGAGUACUGCCAUCUUCUUCAUAGUCCAGUCAUAAAUUCGCACCUUCAACUCUUCAUCGUUGGUGUCGAAGGUGAAAACGUUUGUGACGGCUUUCCAAACUAACUCCUUGUCACGAUCAGAGACAAAACUGAUCUCAGGAGCACCUCGCUUCUCUCUCCAUUCACGAGCACUGAUCGGUAUUUGAUCUCUCACAAGAUAUCCACAGUGACUAACAUAUUUAUUUGUAUGUUCACCAAGUGGUCUGCCUGUAGCUAUCUCAAACUCAGAGAUUACAUAGCGGCCCUCCAACGGCUUCUUUGGCCCUCGUGGAGGUACGCUUCUCCCCGUAGAGGUCGAUCCAGAAGGCUACACGUAGAUAUAGAAACAAAAAUACUAAUUUAAUAACCAAGUAAGUCUAAAACAAGAGAUGCAUUAAUUAUAUAUGUUUACAUUUACAUACCUCACCAGUAUUUUCUUCUUGUUGCUCAGGGGCAUUGCCCUCUUGUUGCUCAGGGGCAUUGCCCUCUUGUUGCGCAGUCGGAUUGCCUUGCAUGAUCUCGUUGUAGUCAAUAAAGAACUGACUACCGUCGUCGAUCAUAUUUUGAAUGGCAUCUUCCAUAUAAUCAGGAUCAUCAUAAGGACGGUCAGCCAUUUUUAUGUCUGCAACCAUAUAUAUAUAUAUUCUAUAUAAGAUAAGAAAUAGUAUACUAGAAUUCAUAAUAUACUGAAUAAUAUACUAAAAAAAUAAUAUACUAGAAUAAUAUAUAAAAAACAAUACUAGAAUAAUAUAGUACAAACAAUAACAUAUACAAAACCCUACUAGAAUAAAUUUGGUGGGUAAACACUACUAGAAUAUAUUAAGCCAAGUAAUAGACUAGAAUUCAUAAAGUAUAUACUAAAAUAUAAUACUACAAAAUAAUACAAAAAUAAUAUUAAUAUACUACAAAUAUACUAUAAUUUAUAACAAUUCAAAACACUACACAUGUAUACUAGCUAGAAUGGAGUGCUCUAAAAAUUAAUACUAGAAUCUUUUAAGCCAAGUAAUACACUAGAAUAAUAUACUAAAAAACAAUAUUAGAAUAAUAUAGUAUAAACAAUAAUAUAUACAAAACACUACUAGAAUAAAUUUGGUAGGUAAACACUACUAGAAUAUAUUAAGCCAAGUAAUAGACUAGAAUAAUAUACUAAAAUUCAUAAAGUAUAUACUAAAAUAUAAUACUACAAAAUAAUACAAGAAUAAUAUUAAUAUACUAUAAAUAUACUAUAAUUUAUAACAAUUCAAAACACUACACAUGUAUACUAGCUAGAAUGGAGUGCUCUAAAAAUUAAUACUAGAAUCUUUUAAGCCAAGUAAUACACUAGAAUAAUAUACUAAAAAACAAUACUAGAAUAAUAUAGUACAAACAAUAAUAUAUACAAAACACUACUAGAAUAAAUUUGGUAGGUAAACACUACUAGAAUAUAUUAAGCCAAGUAAUAGACUAGAAUAAUAUACUAAAAUUCAUAAAGUAUAUACUAAAAUAUAAUACUACAAAAUAAUACAAGAAUAAUAUUAAUAUACUACAAAUAUACUAUAAUUUAUAACAAUUCAAAACACUACACAUGUAUACUAGCAGCUAGAAUAAUAUACUAAAACUAUUACAUAUACUAGCUAGCAUUCAUUACUAUUACAUGUAUACUAUAAUUUUUAUGUAUAUAUAUACUUAAUAUACUAGCAUUUUCAUUAUUAUUUUUAGUGUAUAUAUAUAUAUAUAUACAAAUCACUAAAAUUGUAUAUAUAUAUAUAUAUAUAUAUAUAUAUAUAUAUAUAUAUAUAUAUAUUUAUAUAUAAACUGCGCAGCAGUACUAGUAGUGCCAUAUAUAUAUAUAUAUAUAUCUAUAUAGGACGUGUUUCUUUUACACGCGCGUGUAGUUACUCUCAUCUAUGUAUCUCUAGAUUUAAGGUGUAUAUGACCGGACGAAAUGUAUAUAGACAAAAUAUAUGAUCAUACUAGACCAUCUAGAGUGAUAUGUAUGUUAAGUAUGCAUACAUACAUAGAGUAUAUGGUUAUACUUAUUGUAUAUAAUAUAGUAGUGGCAUUUUAGUAAUAUAUUUAAAAUAUAACUUUUUUUGAAAAAUUUUCGCGUGGUAAGAUCCUGAGUAUCUUAAUAUGAGUAUAUAAACAUACUCAAACUGAUAAACAAGUAUGAAUACAUACACAAUGUAGUUUAUGAAGAUGAGAGUAACUACACGUACGUGUACAAAGGAAUUUCCCUAUAUAUAUAUAUAUACUGCGCAGUGAUCUCGGUUUUGAUCGGAGAGAGAGUGUCGCGUGUAUACUUGGGGCCGGACGGCGGGCAAGACGCGCGGUGGACGGCGGCGCGCGGCGGCAGCGCUGACGGUGGUCGACGGCGGCGCUGGAGACGGUGGUGGACGGCGGCGGCGACGAGAAGGGCUCUCUGCUCGACGAACGAACGGCGGCGGCGAAGACGAAGGGCUCGGCUCGACGAAGACGAAGGAACUGUUCAGAUCCAGAGCGCCUGUGCGUUUAUUUAGAGGGACCCUUUAGCACCGGUCCGUGGCUGGAACCGGUGUUAAAGGGUCUUUAACACCGGCUGGUAACAUGAGCCGGUGCUAAAGGGUCACCCUUUAACAUCGGCUUGUGUUACCGGCCGGUGCUAAAGGGACCCUUUAGCACCGGUUCCCGCCACGCACCGGUGCUAAAGGGUCCUGCGCGCGCUAGGGCGGGCUCCUGAAAUUUUCAGGACCCUUUAGCACCGGUUCCCACUAUGGGCCGGUGCUAAAGGCCCUGUUUUUUAGUUUAGGGUUUUUCAAUUGUUUAUAUAUACAGUUUAUAUUAUAAAUUGUAUAUUAAAUUAAAUAUGUUGCAUAAUAUUUUUUAAACAGUGACAUAUAUUGUAAUUUUUUUUAAUGUACACAUGAAAAAUUUUAACCUUAAAUAUCUUACUAUUUUUUUAUAAUUUGCAAUGAUUUUGUAAGAAAUGUUUACUAUUUUGUUAAUGCAAAAAUAUAUUAUUCCAAUAAAUUUACAAAAACUAUAUCCAAUCAACUGGAAAUCUAUUUUCACAUCAUAUUGACGUUAAACUUUUUAUUUUUGUUAUUUAUUACUCGGAAUGCUAGUAGGGUAUUGUUUUCAUCAAAUAAAAAAUCUAUUUAUCAUAUAAAAAUAUAUAUCUUGAUGAACACAUCCUUUGACCGAACCCUAAAUUAUCCCAAAUGGAAAAGUCAUGAAUACAAAGUUUGUUACACUCAUCAAGUUCUACAUUUUAUCUAAUGGUCAACUUUUCUUUUGGAAAAGUUUGAACCACUAAAUUUUGAAUUUUCAGAGAAUUCAUGGCCACGCAGCGGUUUUAGAACCCUAGAUGGUCUCGAAUGGAAAAGUCAUGAAUACCAAUAUUGUUUCACUCAUCAAAAUCUACAUUUAAUAUAUAGACCACUUUUGCAUUUGACAAAGUUUUAGGAAGGUGUAGUUGAAAAUCCACAAUUGACACAUAUAGUUUCAUAUAGUUUGUGUGAGAUUCAAGAAUUGGUGGGUAUUAUUAACUUAAUCUUUCUCAAAUGGAAAAUUUGCGUAUAUAAAAAGUUUAGAUCUUGAUGAUAUCUAACAACUUGGUAUUCAAAAUUUUUUCAUUUUAAGUAAUUUAGUUUGUCAUUUGACCAAGUUUGACCAAAACCCGUCUUGGAUUUUAUAGAAAUGUGAUUAUGAUUGGCUAAAAAUUAUCCAAAUGGAAAAAUGGAUAAUAUAUAAAAUGUAGAUCUUGAUGAUCUUUAACAACUUUGUAUUCAAAAUUUUUUCAUUUGAAGUCAUCAAAUGACCCAUUUGAUCAAGUUUGAUCAAAGUCAAAGCAUUGGUUUUUACAAAAACACUCUUUGACCGAACCCUAAAUUGUCCCAAAUGGAAAAGUCAUGAAUACAAAGUUUGUUACAUUCAUCAAGUUCUACAUUUUGUCUAAUGAUCAACUUUUCUUUUGGAAAAGUUUGAACCACUAAAUUUUGAAUUUUUAGAGAAUUCAUGGCCACGCAGCGGUUUUGGAACCCUAGAUGGUCUCGAAUGGAAAAGUCAUGAAUACCAAUAUUGUUCCACUCAUCAAAAUCUACAUUUAAUAUAUAGACCACUUUUGCAUUUGGCAAAGUUUUAGGAAGGUGUAGUUGAAAAUCCACAAUUGACACAUAUAGUUUCAUAUAGUUUGUGUGAGAUUCAAGAAUUGGUGGGUAUUGUUAACUUAAACUUUCUCAAAUGGAAAAGUUGUGUAUAGAAAAAGUUUAGAUCUUGAUGAUAUCUAACAACUUGGUAUUCAAAAUUUUUUCAUUUUAAGUAAUUUAGUUUGUCAUUUGACCAAGUUUGACCAAAACCCGUCUUGGAUUUUAUAGAAAUGUGAUUAGGAUUGGCUAAAAAUUAUCCAAAUGGAAAAAUGGACAAUAUAUAAAAUGUAGAUCUUGAUGAUCUCUAACAACUUUGUAUUCAAAAUUUUUUCAUUUGAAGUCAUCAAAUGGGCCAUUUGAUCAAGUUUGACCAAAGUCAAAGUAUUGGUUUUUACAAAAACACUCUUUGACCGAACUCUAGAUUGUCCCAAAUGGAUCCGAGCAAGUUCACACAAAGAUUCUUUGUCAGGUGCAUCACGUCGAUCGCGUUGCGGACCUCUAGGACAUUCCAGUAAGGUAGCUCCCAAAAUAUGGAUUUCUUCUUCCACAUGGGUACGUGUCCCUUAGCAUCCUUGGGAAUAGGUUCGCUGCCUCGUCCCUUUCCAAAUACCACUUUUAUAUCCUUGACCAUUUCGAGUACAUCAUCCCCGGUUCGAUUGAGAGGUUUGGUUCGGUGGUCUGCCUUGCCUUUAAAAUGCUUGCCUUUCUUUCGUACUGGGUGGUUCACAGGAAGAAACCGACGGUGGCCAAGGUACACGACCUUUCGACAUUUUUUCAAAAAUACACAGUCAAGGUCUUCAUAACAAUGUGUGCAUGCAUUAUAUCCCUUGUUUGACUAGCCUGAAAGAUUACUCAGAGCUGGCCAAUAAUUGAUUGUUACAAACAGCAAUGCUCGCAGGUCAAAGUGCUCUUGUUUGUACUCAUCCCACACGCGAACUCCUGGUUUGCUCCAUAAAAGUUGAAGUUCCUCAACUAAUGGCCUUAGGUAGACAUCUAUGUCAUUGCCAGGUUGCUUCGGUCCUUGGAUAAGCACCGGCAUCAUAAUAAACUUCCGCUUCAUGCAUAGCCAUGGAGGAAGGUUGUAGAUACAUAGAGUAACUGGCCAAGUGCUGUGACUACUGCUCUGCUCACCGAAAAGAUUCAUACCAUCUGUACUUAAGGCAAACCGCAAGUUUCUAGCAUCAUCUGCAAAAUCUAGGAAUUCUCUGUCUAUCGCUCUCCACUGGGAUCCAUCGGCAGGGUGUCUCAGCAUAUUGUCUAUCUUACGGUCUUCUUUAUGCCACCGCAACAACUUUGCAUUGUCCUUAUUUCUGAACAGAUGUUUUAAUCGUGGUAUUAUAGGAGCAUACCAUAUAACCUUGGCAGGAAUUUUCUUCCUAUGACGUUCUUCACCCUCAACAUCGCCAGGAUCAUCUCGUCUAAUCUUAUACCGUGAUGCCUUACAUACUGGACAUGCAUCCAAAUUCUCCUAUUCCUCCCCACGGUAGAGGAUGCAGUCAUUAGGACAUGCGUGUAUCUUCUGAAUUUCUAAUCCCAAAGGGCAGACAACCUGUUUUGCUUCAUACGUAGUGGUGGGCAAUUCGUUGCCUUUCAGAAGCAUAUUUUUUAUGAUCUUCAAUAACUGCCCAAAUGUCUUGUCAGAUGUACCAUUCUUUGCCUUCCAAUGCAGCAAUUCUAGUGUGGUACCUAGCUUUUUUUUGCUCCUUUUCAGCGGUGGGAUACAGCGAUUUCCUGUGGUCCUCUAGCAUGCGCUCGAACUUGGCUUUCUCUUUAUCACUUUCACAUUCUCUUUGUGCAUCACGGUUGGCAUCACCAAAAGCAUCAUCGCCCCGAUCAUCUUCUGCCGCUACCUCUUCUUCAUUAUCUCCCCCCAUUGCAACAUCAUUGAAGCCACCGUACUGAGCAAUAAUAUUUGCAUGGUCCAAUUCUUCUUCUUCUUCUUCACCUUCAUCCAUUAUAAUCCCGCUUUCUCCAUGUUUGGUCCAACAAAUAUAGUUUGGUACGAAACCAGACUUUAAUAAGUGUGAAUGAAGAGUUCUUGAGUUAGAAUAUUCCGUCAAAUUCUUGCACACGGCACAUGGACAGCACAUGAAACCGUCCCUCUUAUUUGUCUCGGCUACACUUAAGAAAUAGUGCACGCCAUUAAUGAACUCUUCGGAGCGCCGAUCGACAUUAUACAUCCAAUUACGUGUUACCAUCUGCAUUAAAUAUAACAUAUAUAUUAUGAAAACCAUGCACACAUAUAGUUUCUCAUCUUAUUGCACAACAUGUCUAAGAUACAUAGUUGAUUAAUUUAGGAAAGCUUGGCUACAACAAAUACAAUCGCAAUUAGAACUAAAAAAACCAAAACUAAAAUGCACUUAAGCAACAUAAUUAGUUCGCGUCCGAUCCUAACUAUAAUAGAUAGAUCAUUCGCUUGAUCAACAUCAUUGAACUCCUUUCGUCGGCUCACUGCCUCAACACCUUCAGCCUCAACCAUCUGUGCAAAAGAUUUCUUAAUGUGUUCAAUGUAUUCUUCCUCCUAGUACCAACCUGUACAUCCGCCGGUACCGUCCCACUAAAAUUAAAAGAGAGAAUCAAAAAUUUAAUUAAUAUCAUUUAAAAAAAUAUGCACAUAUAUAAGCAAAUGUCUGGAAAUAACUCACAUUACGAUCCGGACACUUGUAGAAUAUACGACCCUUGUUUACUUCCUCUUUCGACACUUUGUACUCCAUCAAAAUCUUCUGCCCACACUUGCCACAAGUAAUGAGAGGGAGUUCCGGACGGUAUCGCUUUUGAACCCGUUGAGACACCGAAGACCCGGUCACGGUUGCCAUCUACUAUCCAUACUCAAUUUUUAAACAAUUAUAAAUUCCACAUUAGUAAACACGUAUGAUUAAAGAAGAACCUAAUAAUAUCCUUUAUUUAUCUAGUUACUUCAACAAAUCUUCUAAAUUAUACAAUGGACAUUAUGUAGUAAUAAAAAUAAAUCAAGUGAUAUUAACAAACCAAUUAAUUUGAACUAUCCUACUUUCUAAGAUCAUAAAAAGAUACUAUAAUUCAUUCUUGCAAACUACAUUAAUACUAGGUCAACCAUGAAAUAUGAUAUAUAUAUAUAUAUGGAUACUAAUUCAUGUGAAUGAUUCAAAAUAACAACGUGGAUUUGAGCUAAAAAUAAUGGGAACAUCACAAGCCAAAAACAACAUGAAAAAGACAAGAAAGACAAAAGUUAAUCACCUCCAAACACGAAGAAACGAUGACGGAGUCGAAGAAGAUCAACAAUGGGCGUCGGAGAUGAAGAACAAAUGAGGAAGAAGAAGCUCCAAGAACAACAAUGGUGAAUGGUGCUCUCGGUUUCAAAUGGGCAGAGAGGAGGAGUGAUCCGGCCUAUAAGCCUAUAAAUCGGACCUUUAGAACCGGUUCAGGGACGUGCUAAAGGGUCACCCUUUAGCACCGGUUUGUGUUACAAACCGGUGCUAAAGGCUUUGCCUCGGCCCGUGGCGCUGGCCGGUGCUAAAGAGGACCCUUUAGCACCUGUUGGUAACACGAACCGGUGCUAAAGGGUCUCUGCCCCGACAGCACCUGUCACUAGCCGUUGGGCAGGACCCUUUAGCACCGGUUCGUGUUACGAACCGGUGUUAAAGGGGUCUUUAACCCCGGGCCGCAAAAAGGCCGAGGUUUUUGACCAUUUUGGACAUCGACCAAUGCCUCAUUCUGUAGCAGUGACAUUCACAAGAGAAGAGACAUGUGCAACACAAACGACAUAACUCGACAAAGACACCUCCCAUUUUUCGGCCCUUAGCAUAAUCAAACACAUAUCAAUGUGUACUCAAAUGAAAAAACCUCAAGCCUGUAAACUCUUGUGUCAAUCAUUCAUCUGUCAUCACACAUAGAUGAGAUGAAUGCACUUUCCAACUCAUCUUUUAACUUCAAAAUACAUAUAUAGAAGGUAGAAUAACUCUAUUCCAUUGUGUCCACACUCUACACUACGCGCACGUUGUCAUCUUAUUAAUUGGCACGUACUCCCAACUGCCAUGCUCAGUACGAAAUGUCCUGUGGAGAGAAAGAUGCGUCUAGCUACCUGCCACGCACCGGAUGGAACGCAGUAAUUACGUUCCAAUCAGUCGCGUACGCAUAUGUGAAGCAUGCAGCGUGUAUCACGUUGGAUCUAAACACUAUAAAUACCACCCCAGGCUGCAAGCAUCCCUCCUCACUCCAAAGCCAUCAAACCGAGCUCGAGCUCUUAAACAAUCGUCUAAGAUAUAUAGCAUCAUUUUCGUUUGAUUAUUAACCAGCUCUCGAAGCCAUGGGUACAAAUGAUAGAGCGGCCAUUUCUCUAGUAUUCUUAUUCCUUGUGUGCAUGGCUAGCCGCUCAUCCUGCAGCUUGGGUAGCUCUGAAGUGCAGAGGCGCUCAGUAGUCCCAUCGAUCUACGUGUUUGGUGAUUCGUUAGUCGAUGUCGGAAAUAACAAUUUCCUGCCGCCGCCUGCGCCCCGUGCGCUAUCUCCGUACGGCAUCGACAGCAGCUUGACAGGGCGGUUCACGAACGGCUACAACCUUGCCGAUUUAGUCGGUACAUAUUUAUUUAUUAUAUAUGUAUAUAUAUAUGCAUGCUUAUGUUUUUGUUAUAUAUAUAUAUAUAUAUAUAUAUAUAUGGAUAUGGUUUACAGAUGCUAAUGAAACUCCGCUCUUAUGGCUUUUCAAAUCGUGACUUCAAGUCCUCAACCAUAUGUUGUUUUUAUGCAUUUCGUGUGUAACUAUAUAUAAAAUUAUAUGUAGCAACAUCACUUUUCAGCACAUCAAACAUGCAAUAUAUAUAUAGCCUUAUACAGGUAUCUUGAUUGCAAUUUUCAUAUGUAGGGAUGUUUAGGUAAUACUCCCUCAAUAUUUGAAAAAGAAGUCGUUUUGGACAAGGUUUGGGUCAAACAUUAACAAUAUAAAUCAUAAAUAACUUUUAAGUUGUUGAGUUUAAAAAUAUGAAAAUUAUAUAAAUAGUUUUGUCUUGAAAAUACUUUCAUAUAUAUAUAUAUAUACAUAUAUAUAUAUAUAUAUAUCACUUUUUGAUAAAUAUUUUUAUAAGAUUAUGGAGUCAAAAUUAUGCUUUGGAGACCGUGUUACUAUCCAAAAUGACUUUUUUUAGCAUGGAGGGAGUAUACUUCAGUACAUUUGACUUCAGAGAUCUAAGACACGACAAAGAAAAGAAUUACAUUUAUAUUCUCUAAUUAAUAGAGACAGAUACAUCUAAGGAUCGUAUUCAAAUGGUCGACAGCCUUCAAACAAACUUUUGCCUGACUUAAUCAUUUUUCAGAUGCAAGUAUUUUAACUACUAAUAGAGAUGGAUAAUCUAAGGAUCUGCCUCUAGAAUUUUGAUUAAGUAUUAAUAGAGCUGGGCAUCUUUAAGAGCCAUGCCUCUAGAAGUAGUUGUAUAAAAAAAUUCAUAACAUUUCCAUAUAUAUUAAUUUCAAUGAAAACAAAGUUCUCGAUGAGACCUAUAACUUUGUAGUUAGUCUUAUCAAAGCUCUACUUCUGAAUAUAGUCUAGAAAAUUGUAGUUGAUAUUUUUUUUUAUUUGUAGUUGUUUAGAGUCUCAAAUGUGUUUUGCGUUCAUAUAUUUUGAAAAUUUUAGAUUUCCAAACAACUUUAAAUGUUCACAUGAUUAAUACCAAAGUUGUGGUGGCCGACUUGAUCUAUAAGUUUGUUGUUGAUAAGGUUUUUAUUUGAAGUUGUUUAGAGUCUUCAAUAUUUAUUUUAAACUAAUAUAUUUUGAUAUUACUGAUAUUAUUUGGAAAUUUAAAAUUGUAGUAUCAAAAUUGUAGUAUUUAUUUUAGCUACCAAUGUUUUAUGACAAGAUUUAAAACUUUGUAGUUGAAACUUUUUUAUUUAACUUUUUUUAGUAGCUAAAAUAACUAUACAAGAUUAUGAAACGUUAAUACAAAGUAUAGCAUCCUUUAUAUACUUACAAAAGAUGCAGUGGUAGGGAGGUGUUAUGUGAGUUGAAGGUUGCAAGUUUGAGUGUUUAGAAGUACAUAUUUUUUUGUGCGAUUUACAAAGUCGGUCGGGCUGUCUGCCUUGCUCAUCGCUCAAAAUACUUUCUACAGUAGUGAAAGAUAUAUAAAUUAUUACAAUAUUGAUGGUUAUUGCAACAACAAUUUGGAUAUUUGUGGGUAUAUAUAGUUAGCUCCUAUACUAUACUGCUAGACAGUUACCAUGCAUGCAUGAGCCCUAUGUGAGCCAUAAACAGGUAUAGCAAUUCAUCAAUGUUUUUUAUAUGCACAGCGCGACGUCUGGGGUUCACGAAGAGUCCACCUGCUUACCUCUCGUUGACACCAUCAUCAAAACUUGACCUACUAACGUGCCGAGUUGGUGCCAGUUACGCAUCUGGCGGAUCCGGCAUUCUCAACACCACGGUACGCUCAUAAUAAGCUGUUUUUUUAGAUUGAGAUGCUGCUCAAUCAUAAGCUGUGUAUAUACAUUAUUACACAUAUUGCUUCUCAUGUUGAGUACACAAGUAUCCCCAUCAGUUGAAUAUUACCACACUAGCUAAUAAUUACUGGUAAUUAAAUUCAAUCAUAUAUUGUUGUGUCAGACAAUUCAAGAGGUUCAGUUACAUUAUUAUUGUUAGACAGCUGAUAUAUAUAUAUAUAUAUAUAUAUAUAUAUAUAUAUAUAUAUAAUACAUGUGGAUACAGUAACAAAAAGAUUAAUUAUUGACCUGAUGCUCUGUAAAUAUUUGCCUCCUGUUGGCGAAUAUGUAUAUAUAUGCAGGGAAAUGGGACCCUCACAAUGCAAAAACAGAUCAUGUUGUUCUCCAAAACUAAAGCAAGGAUGUGGUGUGGCCGGAAGCUCAACUAUAUGAUAUCAAAGUCGUUCUUUCUUAUUAGCGCUGGAGGCAAUGACUUUUCUGCCUUCAGUGAAAUGGGCAUGAGUCCACAAGAUGCCCCAGCCUACAUCAGUAGCAUGGUCUCAACCUAUGUCGAGCAUAUCAACGUACGUACACGAAGGACCAUAUAUAUGAUAUGAUACAGUUCAUUGCACACACAUAAAAAGAAUGCAACAAAAAAUAAAAUUAUAAUAUUGUCUGUUGUAUUGCAUCAAAAAAAUAUUGUCUGUUGUACAAAACCAAUUAUGCAGAUAUAGAUUAUUAAGUAUCACAAACUUCAUAGUUUGGAAUUUGUAUGUUGUAUCAAGUACCAUAUAACUACCUAUCUCAAAGUAUCACAAAAUUACAUAUCCAAAAUCUUGUAUAACAAAACCAAUAUGUUUUGCCUAGCUAGCUAAAGUUUAUAGUUUUUUUAAAAAAAUUUAUUACUAUACAUAUAUAUUGGUGCUAUAAAAAAAAAGUUUAUAGUUUUUCUGGUGCUGAUGCACAUAUCAGUUUUCUACUAAUAAACAAUUUUUUGGUGAUAUAUAAGAGCAACACAUAUCAGUUUAUUAGUAAAUAAGAGCAAUAUAUGGUUAAGUUAACAAAUUAUUGAGUAGUAAACUGAUAUGUGCACAUAUCAGUUUUCUGGUGAUAUAUAUAUAUCAGUGUUUAAAAUAGCGUGCUAAGUCUCUUAGCGGCAGCCUCUCUAAAAGGCUAAGAAAAGCUAUAUCGCGCUAAUAGCGGGCUAAGCCAUUUAGCGGUUGAGCAAAAAAUAUGUCAAAUAUCAUGUAAUUUUACACAUAAUAAAGAUGAAAACAUUAUGAAUACCAAUAGUGAUAGAUAUUUCAAAGGGUUACUAACAUAUUACAUCAAAGUUCGUAGUUCAUACAUGAUACAUCAAUAAUAACAUACAUCACAUAGGGGCAUAUCCCUGCUAUUUGGGCCUCCAAGUUAUUUGGGCCGAUGAAAAUGAAUCCCAAGGUCAAAUAGCGGCGCUAAACUAACCCAAUUUAGCGAAAUUAGCGCGCUAUUAGCUGCUAAUAGCGGGAACAAUCAUUUAGCGUUAAAAUCUCCAUAGCUUAGCAGUCCUCUUCCAGAAACGCUAAAUAGCGCUAUAGCGUCCGCUAUAGCGCGCUAUUUAGAACAGGGAUAUAUAUGAGGUUUUUUAUAUAUAUUGCACACUUUUAAUGUAGCUUAUGACUCUAUUUCUUAUAUAGAUAUUUUUACAAAAUUUCUUUCUGGAGAACUCCAACUAUAACUCAAUUUUAUUGAACAAUAAAUAUGUGUGUAGGAAAAACAUAACAGAAGUAACAUGCAUGAAAAUAGUUUUCAUAAAAAGAAUGUAGGCGUCACACACGCAUACUUCGUGAAUGCAGGCUUUGUACACGUUGGGGGCGCGGAGAUUGGGGAUCCUAGACGUGCCAGCAAUCGGUUGUACUCCAGGUUCGAGAGUCCCCAUGGCCAACGGCGGAUGCAACGACGCCGCCAAUUCCAUGGCACAGAACUUCAACAAACUCCUAAGGGUUGAGGUGGCAAAAGCCGUUGAAACCUCCAUGCCCGACAUGAAAUACUCCAUAGCAAGCACCUACAAUUUUCUCACUGACUUGAUGGACAAUCAUCUCGUGGCUGGUAUGUUCAAGGCCAUCAUCGUUUGUGCAAAUUAAAAAUAAAAAAUCUUAUCUUUAGGCCAUCAAGAUCUUGCAGUAACAUAUAAUUAAACAGCUCUUAACAUUAACACAAUUAGUUUUGCAUCAUUCAGGCAUCCGGGUGAUCGAGAGGGCAUGCUGCGGAUCAGGAAAAUUGAACGCGGCAGUAAUGUGCAGCAGGCCAAACACGACUUAUUGUUUGGAUCGCAAUGACUACAUGUUCUGGGACAUGUUGCAUCCUACACAGGCUACAUAUGAACGAGGGGUGGUCGCAAUCUUCUACGGCCCGCAGGAGUAUGCGGAUCCCAUCAACUUUGCAGGAUUGGUCGGCAUCGCCACAGAGAUAAAUACUACUAUGGCCCCCGGCGUC